rnacentral:lncRNA from 1 species
GGGUCUGCAUUCCUUGGCUGGCUCUUCACACUUGAGUCCAAGACAGGUCAAUGGUUAGUGGCUGGAUUUGCAAGCAUGUGUGUUUCUGGGCAGGAUAUCAGCUGGGGCAGUCUGAGAGGAAGCUGUCAAGGGAAGCUAAAGAGGAGGGAGUCAGUCACGUCUCUCUUCACCUGUUGCACUCUCUAAAUUUUACUGUCCACUCCUAGGCCUGAUCUAGAGGGCUGUCUAGUCUAGGGGAGACAAAGUUGGAUGUAUCUACUGCCAGCCCCAUGGGGUCAGAACUACAGGGGAAGGAUGGGGACUGUGGGAUUCCAGAGGAACAACAGGGAGGGCUUCUUGGAGGAAUGCUUGUUCUUGAGCUGAGUUUUUUUUUCUCUGCAGCUCAGUCUGAAAUGCAGUGGCACAAUCACUGCUCACUGCAGCCUUGACCUUCCGUGCUCAAUUGAUCCUCCUACUUCAGGGUGGGACUACAGGCACAUGCCACCACACACAGCUAAUUUUUGUAUUUUUUGUAGAGAUGGGGUUACAUCAUGUUGUUCAGGCUGGUCUCAAACUCCUGGGUUCAAGCAAUCCUCCUGUCUUGGCCUCUCAGAGUGCUGGAAUUACAGGCAUGAACCACCUCAUCUGACCUGAGCUGAGUUCUGAAGUGUGAAUAGGAGUUGGCUAGGUGAGGAAGGGAAAAAAGGACCUUCUAGACAGAAAUAUUUGUCAAAGAUAGAGAGAAGUAGGCAGGAGCUGAUUAGGGCAAGGUGUUUGAACGUCAGGCUGGAUGCAGAAAUUUUCUCACAAGGCCAAUGUGGAACCAUGGAGAAUGUGUGAGCAAGGGAGGCCAUGAUUAGAGCUUGAUCUCUCAGGGGCAGAGUGGGGGACAGCUUGGUUCUUUGGUGAUGGGAUCAGGAGAGUUCCAGUGUCAUGGGGGGUCAGGAGAGUUAAGCCCCGCAUCAACUCAUCUGCACCUGUCACCUCGCACCAGAGUUGGUGGGGGACCUCCUGAUGUUCUGGAGGGCCAAAUAAGCCGUGGGAUCCAGUGACUUACAGUGUGAGGUACAGACCAGCACAGAGAGGGUACCGCCCCAGGCUCUGCUCAGAUGGACACAGCCCUGACCUCAUCUCCAGCCUCCUGCCAUCUCCACCCCAGCCCUGAUAGUCCUGCUUUCCAUGGUAGCCAUGAGCUGCGUGUUAAAAUGAUAAAUCAGCCCCAUCCCUUCUCUCCUCAAAACCCUCUCAUAGCUCGUCUUUGCUCUUAGGCUAAAACCCAGAGCCUCCUGCAGCUCAGAAGACCCAGUGUGGCCCAGCCUCUGUGGCCUCUGGCCCUCCCCACCCACUCCAACCUCACUGCUGUUUCUCUCCCCCUUGGGAUCCUUGUACCUGCUGUUUCUUCUGCAUGGAAUUCACUUCCUGUCUCAGCUCUAGGACAUCAGUCCAGAAAGGCCCCCAACUUCCUGCCUCUCGGGGUUCCCCUGUCUCGUGACCUCUGCACUAGCCAUAGUGUCCCUAUAACUAAAAUUGAGACAGAUUGAGAAGGGGCUUAGUUGAGCCUUCUAUGCUCAAGAGACUCAGGCCCAAGCUCAGCCCCAGUCCCUGCUCUCAUGAGACCACAGGCACAGGGGUCAUUUGGGGGAUUAUCUUGGCACUGGGUCCUGUGGGAUGGUGUCACCUCCAGCCUCCAGGGACCCAUCCUAGCCAUGGGAAUGUGUCCAAUUCCUGCCCAGGAUUAAAAUUAGCCCUGGAGAUUACAUUUAGUAAGUCAAGCUGGAAGUCAGGGGCUGGAGCCCACAGCCUGGGCUCUGCAGAGCUGUGGCGGCUCAGAGACUCAGCCCAGAGAACAUGGAGGUAUGCUUGGGGUCACACAGUGGGCCACAAGUGCCACCUGAGGUGUCAGAUACUUGUGGGCCUGGGACACCUGGAUGAUGAAGGGUCCAGCAUGGGCUGGAGCAGUGCCAGGGGUUGGGGUUCUGAGAAGCAUCUGUGGCCACUCCCAGAGAAUGACCUGAAUUUCCUGAGAGUUUGUUGCCAGGCCUUGUGGUGGGCGCUUGGCAUUUCAUGCCUGCCAUAGAGGUCUGUUACCUGUCCCAUUCACAGAACAGCACAUAGAGGCCUAGAAAUCAGCCUCCUAUGCUGAGAGCCACCUCAAGGGUCAUAGAAGAGGCUGGGACCCAAGCAUAGGCCCAUGUGACUCUGGGGAGUCACUCAUCUGAAGCCUCAAGUCAUCUGUGACAUGGCAGAGGCUGGGAGGUGGAGUGUGUUCACACAGUUGGCAGAGCGGGGAUGUCCCCUGGGGGUCUCAGGGGCCUGGGAUGGCAUGCCUGCUGCGGAACGGGCAACAUGAUUUCUUUCUAUUGAGGAACCUUGCAUGGGGGUGCCAGAGAAAGCCUUGUCCCUGCCGUGGCCCAGCAGCCUCCUACUUCUGAGACCCCCACCGGGGGAUCCAAGAUUCCUUGAGGUGGGGUCCAGGGUUUCUCCUGAGUCACCAAGUGGACCCCUGGACCUAAACUCUGGUUUGAGGGCUCCAAGCCAGAGUCUUUCCAGGGAAUCCCUGUACUCUCCCACUGGAACAGGGUGGGGUUUCCAUCAUUCUCUUUUCAAAAAAAAAAAAAAUUAGCAGAAAUAAUUCACUGGUGGUUGGGGGGAAUUGGAAGAUUCAGAUAAUCAAAGAGUUAAAACAGGCUGGGCGUGGUGGCUCAUGCCUCUAAUCCCAGCACUUUGGGAGGCUGAGGCAGGCUGAUCACCUGAGGUUGGGAGUUCGAGACCAGCCUGACCAACAUGUAGAAACCCAGUCUCACUAAAAAUACGUAAUUAGCCAGGUGUGGUGGUGCAUGCCUGUAGUCCCAACUACUUGGGAGGCUGAGGCAGCAUAAGUGCUUGAACCUGGGAGGUGGAGGUUGCAGUGAGCCAAGGUUGUGCCAUUGAACUCCAGCCUGGGGGACAGAGAGAGACUCCAUCUAAAAAAAAAAAAAAAUUGGAAAAUUGUUGGGAAUAUAAUCCACACAAAAAUAUCCUCAAUCACAUUAGAGUGGCCAACAUGCCAAUUCAAGAAAUUUAGAGUACCUUUGUGAAGUACUAUACAGGACAACAAUCACCAAGACACAGUUAUCAGAUUCUCCAAGGUCAACAUGAAAAUAAAAGCCUUAACAGGAGUUAGAGGAAAGGGUCAGGUCACUUACGAAGGGAACUCUAUUAGGCUAACAGUAGACCUAUCAGCAGAAACCUUACAAUCCUUAAAAUCUUAGGAGCCUAUUUUCAGCAUCCUUAAAGAAAAUAAAUUCCAACCAAUAAUUUCAUAUCCUGCCAAACUAAGCUUCAUAAGCAAAGAAGAAAUAAAAUCCUUUCCCGGCAAGCAAAUGCUAAGAGAAUUUGUUACCAUUACACUAGCCUUACAAGAGGUUCUUUAGGGAAAUGAAAAAUAAAAGCUGCUAAUAUAAAACACACUUAAAUACAUAGCCCAAAGACCCUGUAAAGCAGCUACACAGUUGAAUCUACAAAACAACCAGCUAACAAAACAAUGACAAGAUACAAAUCUCACAUAUCGAUAUUAACCUUGAAUGUAAAUGGUUCAAACACCCCACUUAAGAGGGACAGAGUGGUAAGUUGGAAGACUCAACCAUAUACUGUCUUCAAGAGACCUAUCUAAUAUGUAAUGCCAUCCAUGGGAUUAAAGGAAAGGGUUGGAGAAAGAUCUCUCAUACAAAUGAAAAACAAAAAGACCAGAGGUUGCUAUUGCUAUGUCAUAUAGAACAGACUUUAAACCAACAACAGUAAAAAAAAUAAAUAAAUAAAAAGCAUUACAUAGUGAUGAAGCAUUUAGUUCAACAAGAAGACUUAAAAAUCCUGAAAAUAUAGGCAUCCAACAUUAGGGCACUCUGAUUCAUAAAACAAAUACUUCUAAACCUGCAAAAAGACUUAGACAGCCACACAAUAAUAGUGGGGGCGAGUUACUGGGUGCAGCACACCAACAUGGCACGUGUAACUAACCUGUAACUAACCUGCACGUUGUGCACAAGUACCCUAAAAUUUAAAGUAUAUUUUAAAAAAAAUAGUGGGGGAUUUGAACAUCCCACUGACAGCUUUAGACAGAUCAAUCAUUGUGAUGAAAACUAACAAAGAAAUUCUCUCUUUUUAAAAUGUAUUACUAUUAUUAUUAUUAUUAUACUUUAAGUUUUAGGGUACAUGUGCACAACGUGCAGGUUUGUUACAUAUGUAUACAUGUGGCAUGUUGGUGUGCUGCACCCAUUAACUUGUCAUUUAGCAUUAGGUAUAUCUCCUAAUGCUAUCCCUCCCCCCUCCCCCGACCCCACAACAGUCCCCGGUGUGUCAUGUUCCCCUUCCUGUGUCCAUGUGUUCUCAUUGUUCAAUUCCCACCUAUGAGUGAGAACAUGUGGUGUUUGGUUUUUUGUCCUUACUAUAGUUUGCUGAGAAUGAUGGUUUCCAGCUUCAUCCAUGUCCCUAUAAAGGACAUGAACUCAUCAUUUUUUAUGGCUGCAUAGUAUUCCAUGGUGUAUAUGUGCCACAUUUUCUUCAUCCAGUCUAUCAUUGUUGGACAUUUGGGUUGGUUCCAAGUCUUUGCUAUUGUGAAUAGUGCCACAAUUAAUAUACGUGUGCAUGUGUCUUUAUAGCAGCAUGAUUUAUGAUCCUUUGGGUAUAUACCCAGUAAUGGGAUGGCUGGGUCAAAUGGUAUUUCUAGUUCUAGAUCCCUGAGGAAUGGCCACACUGACUUCCACAAUGGUUGAACUAGUUUACAGUCCCACCAACAGUGUAAAAGUGUUCCUAUUUCUCCACAUCCUCUCUAGCACCUGUUGUUUCCUGACUUUUUAAUGAUCGCCAUUCUAACUGGUGUGAGAUGGUAUCUCAUUGUGGUUUUGAUUUGCAUUUCUCUGAUGGCCAGUGAUGAUGAGCAUUUUUUCAUGUGUUUUUUGGCUGCAUAAAUGUCUUCUUUUGAGAAGUGUCUGUUCAUAUCCUUUGCCCACUUGUUGAUGGGGUUGUCUGUUUUUUCUUGUAAAUUUGUUGGAGUUCAUUGUAGAUUCUGGAUAUUAGCCUUUUGUCAGACGAGUAGGUUGCAAAAAUUUUCUCCCAUUCUGUAGGUUGCUUGUUCACUCUGAUGGUGGUUUCUUUUGCUGUGCAGAAGUUCUUUAGUUUAAUUAGAUCCCAUUUGUCAAUUUUGGCUUUUGUUGCCAUUGCUUUUGGUGUUUUAGACGUGAAGUCCUUUCCCACGCCUAUGUCCUGAAUGGUAUUGCCUAGGUUUUCUUCUAGGGUUUUUAUGGUUUUAGGUCUAACAUGUAAGUCUUUAAUCCAUCUUGAAUUAAUUUUUGUGUAAGGUGUAAGGAAGGGAUCCAGUUUCAGCUUUCUACGUAUGGCUAGCCAGUUUUCCCUGCACCAUUUAUUAAAUAGGGAAUCCUUUCCCCAUUGCUUGUUUUUGUCAGGUUUGUCAAAGGUCAGAUGGUUGCAGAUAUGCGGCAUUAAUUCUGAGGGCUCUGUUCUGUUCCAUUGGAUUAUAUCUCUGUUUUGGUACCAGUACCAUGCUGUUUUUGUUACUGUAGCCUUGUAGUAUAGUUUGAAGUCAGGUAGCGUGAUGCUUCCACCUUUGUUCUUUUGGCUUAAGAUUGACUUGGCAAUGCAGGCUCUUUUUUGGUUCCAUAUGAACUUUAAAGUAAUUUUUUCCAAUUCUGUGAAGAAAGUCAUUGGUAGCUUGAUGGGGAUGGCAUUGAAUCUAUAAAUUACCUUGGGCAGUAUUGCCAUUUUCAUGAUAUUGAUUCUUCCUACCCAUGAGCAUGGAAUGUUCUUCCAUUUGUUUGUAUCCUCUUUUAUUUCAUUGAGCAGUAGUUCGUAGUUCUCCUUGAAGAGGUCCUUCACGUCCCUUGUAAGUUGGAUUCCUAGGUAUUUUAUUCUCUUUGAAGCAAUUGUGAAUGGGAGUUCACUCAUGAUUUGGCUCGCUGUUUGUCUGUUAUUGGUGUAUAAGAAUGCUUGUGAUUUUUGCACAUUGAUUUUGUAUCCUGAGACUGCUGAAGUUGCUUAUCAGUUUAAGGAGAUUUUGGGCUGAGACAAUGGGGUUUUCUAGAUAUACAGUCAUGUCAUCUGCAAACAGGGACAAUUUGACUUCCUCUUUUCCUAAUUGAAUGCCCUUUAUUUCUUUCUCCUGCCUGAUUGCCCUGGCCAGAACUUGCAACACUAUGUUGAAUAAGAGUGGUGAGAGAGGGCAUCCCUGUCUUGUGCCAGUUUUCAAAGGGAAUGCUUCCAGUUUUUGUCCAUUCAGUAUGAUAUUGGCUGUGGGUUUGUCAUAGAUAGCUCUUAUUAUUUUGAGAUACGUCCCAUCAAUACCUAAUUUAUUGAGAGUUUUUGGCAUGAUGCGUUGUUGAAUUUUGUCAAAGGUCUUUCCUGAAUCUAUUGAGAUAAUCAUGUGGUUUUUUCAUUGGUUCUGUAUAUAUGCUGGAUUAUGUGUGUUGAUUUGCGUAUGCUGAACCAGCCUUGCAUCCCAGGGAUGAAGCCAACUUGAUCUUGGUGGAUAAGCUUUUUGAUGUGAUGCUGGAUUUGGUUUGCCAGUAUUUUAUUGAGGAUUUUUGCAUCAAUGUUCAUCAGGGAUAUUGGUCUAAAAUUCUCUUUUUUUGUUGUGUCUCUGUCAGGCUUUGGUAUCAGGAUGAUGCUGGCCUCAUAAAAUGAGUUAGGGAGGAUUCCUUCUUUUUCUAUUGAUUGGAAUAGUUUCAGAAGGAAUGGUACCAGCUCCUCUUUGUACCUCUGGUAAAAUUCGGCUGUGAAUCCAUCUGGUCCUGGACAUUUUUUGGUUGGUAGGCUAUUAAUUAUUGCCUCAAUUUCAGAGCCUGUUAUUGGUCUAUUCAAGGAUUCAAAUUCUUCCUUGUUUAGUCUUGUGAGGGUGUAUGUGUCGAGGAAUUUAUCCAUUUCUUCUAGAUUUUCUAGUUUAUUGCAUAGAGGUGUUUAUAGUAUUCUCUGAUGGUAGUUUGUAUUUCUGUGGGAUCAGUGGUGAUAUCCCCUUUAUCAUUUUUUAUUGUGUUUAUUUGAUUCUUCUCUCUUUCCUUCUUUAUUAGUGUUGCUAGCGGUCUAUCUAUUUUGUUGGUCUUUGCAAAAAACCAGCUCCUGGAUUCAUUGAUUUUUUGAAGGCUUUUUGUGUCUCUAUUUCCUUCAGUUCUGCUCUGAUCUUAGUUAUUUCUUGCCUUCUGCUAGCUUUUGAAUGUGUUUGCUCUUGCUUCUCUAGUUCUUUUAAUUGUGAUGUUAGGGUAUCGAUUUUAGAUCUUUCCUGAUCUCUCUUGUGGGCAUUUAGUGCUAUAAAUUUCCCUCUACACACUGCUUUAUAGGUGUCCCAGAGAUUCUGGUAUGUUGUGUCUUUGCUCUCUUUGGUUUCAAAGAACAUCUUUAUUUCUGCCUUCAUUUCAUUAUGUACCCAGUAGUCAUUCAGGAGCAGGUUGUUCAGUUUCCAUGUAGUUGUGCAGUUUUGAGUGAGUUUCUUAAUCCUGAGUUCUAAUUUGAUUGCACUGUUGUCUGAGAGACAGUUUGUUGUGAUUUCUGUUCUUUUACAUUUGGUGAGUAGUGCUUUACUUCCAACUAUGUGGUCAAUUUAAGUAUAAGUGAGAUGGGGUGCUGAGAAGAAUGUAUAUUCUGUUGAUUUGGGGUACAGAGUUCUGUAGAUGUCUGUUAGGUCCACUUGGUGCAGAGCUGAGUUCAAAUCCUGGAUAUCCUUGUUAACUUUCUGUCUUGUUGAUCUGUCUAAUGUUGACAAUGGGGUGUUAAAGUCACCCAUUAUUAUUGUGUGGGAGUCUAAGUCUCUUUGUACAUCUCUAAGGAUUGGCUUUGUGAAUCUGUGUGCUCCUGUAUUGGGUGCAUAUAUAUUUAGGAUAGUUAGCUCUUCUUGUUGAAUUGAUCCCUUUACCAUUAUGUAAUGGCCUUCUAUGUCUCUUUUGAUCUUUGUUGGCUUAAAGUCUGUUUUUCCUGAGACUAGGAUUGCAACCUCUGCUUUUUUUUGUUUUCCAUUUGCUUGGUAGAUCUUCCUCCAUCCCUUUAUUUUGAACCUAUAUGUGUCUCUGCAUGUCAGAUGGGUCUCCUGAAUACAGCACACUGAUGGGUCUUGACUCUUUAUCCAAUUUGCCAGUCUGUGUCUUUUAAUUGGAACAUUUAGCCCAUUUACAUUUAAGGUUAAUAUUGUUACAUGUGAAUUUGAUCCUGUCAUUAUGAUGUUAGCUGGUUAUUUUGCCCAUUAGUUGAUGCAGUUUCUUCCUAGCAUCGAUGGCCUUUACAAUUUGGCAUGUUUUUGCAGUGGCUGGUACUGGUUGUUCUUUCUGUGUUUACUGCUUCCUUCAGGAGCUCUUGUAGGGCAGGCCUGGUGGUGACAAAAUCUCUCAGCAUUUGCUUGUCUAUAAAGGAUUUUCUUUCUCCUUCACUUAUGAAGCUUAGUUUGGCUGGAUAUGAAGUUCUGUGUUGAAACUUCUUUUCAUUAAGAAUGUUGAAUAUUGGCCCCCACUCUCUUCUGGCUUGUAGAGUUUCUGCUGAGAGAUCCGCUGUUAGUCUGAUGGGCUUCCCUUUGUGGGUAACCCGACCUUUCCCUCUGGCUGCCCUUAACCUUUUUUCCUUCAUUUCAACCUUGGUGAAUCUGACAAUUCUGUGUCUCAGGGUUGCUCUUCUCAUAGAGUAUCUUUGUGGUGUUCUCUGUAUUUCCUGAAUUUGAAUGUUGGCCUGCCUUGCUAAGUUGUGGAAGUUUUCCUGGAUAAUAUCCUGAAGAGUGUUUUCCAACUUAGUUCCAUUCUCCCCGUCAAUUUCAGGUACACCAAUCACAAGUAGAUUUGGUCUUUUCACAUAGCCCCAUAUUUCUUGGAGGCUUUGUCCAUUUCUUUUUACUCUUUUUUCUCUAAACUUCUCUUCUCACUUCAUUUCAUUCAUUUGACCUUCAAUCACUGAUCCCCUUUCUUCCACUUGAUCAAAUCGGCUACUGAAGCUUGUGCAUGCAUCACGUAGUUCUUGUGCCAUUGUUUUCACCUCCAUCUGGUCAUUUAAGGUCUUCUCUAUGCCGUUUAUUCCAGUUAGCCAUUCAUCUAAUCUUUUUUCAAGGUUUUUAGCUUCCUUGCGAUGGGUUCGAACAUCCUCCUUUAGCCUGGAGAAGUUUGUUAUUACAAACCUUCUGAAGCCUACUUCUGUCAACUCAUCAAAGUCAUUCUCUAUCCAGCUUUGUUCCAUUGCUGUGGAGGAGCUGUGACACUUUGGAGGAGAAGAGGUGCAGUGGUUUUUAGACUUUUCAGCUUCUCUGCUCUGGUUUCUCUCCAUCUUUGUCAUUUUAUCUACCUUUGGUCUUUGAUGAUGGUGACCUACAGAUGGGGUUUUGGUGUGGAUGUCCUUUUUGUUGAUGUUGAUGCUAUUGCUUUUGUUUGUUAGUUUUCCUUCUAACAGAUUCCUUAGCUGCAGGUCUGUUGGAGUUUGCUGGAGGUCUACUGCAGACCCUGUUUGCCUGGGUAUCACUGGCAGAGGCUUCAGAACAGCAAAUAUUGCAGAACAGCAAAUGUUGCUGCCUGAUCUUUCCUCUGGAAGCUUUGUCUCAGAGGGGCACCUGGCUGUAUGAGGUGUCAGUUGACCCCUACUGGGAGGUGUCUCUCAGUUAGGCUACUUGGGGGUCAGGGACACACUUGAGGAGGCAGUCUGUCCAUUCUCAGAGCUUAAACUCCAUUCUGUGGGAACCACUGCUCUCUUCAGAGCUGUCAGACAGGGAAGUUUAAGGCUGUAGAAACUUCUGCUGUAGAAAGUUUCUGCUGCCUUUUGUUCAGCUAUGCCCUGCCCCUAGAGGUGGAGUCUACAGAGGCAGGCAGUCCUGGUUGAGUUGUGGUGGGCUCCACCCAGUUCAAGCUUCCUGGUGGCUUUGUUUACCUAGUCAAGCCUCAGCAAUGGCGGAUGCCCCUCCCCCAGCCUGUCUGCUCCCUCCCAGUUCGAUCUCAGACCGCUGUGCUAGCAGUGAGCAAGCCUCCAUGGGCAUGUGAUCCUCCGAGCCAUGUGCGGGAUAUAAUCUCCUGGUGUGCCAUUUGCUAAGACUGUUGGAAAAGCACACUAUUAGGGUGGAAGUGUCCCGAUUUUCCAGGUACCAUCUCUCAUGGCUUCCCUUGGCUAGGAAAGGGAAAUCCCCCAACCCCUUGUACUUCCUGGAUGAGGUGAUGCCCCACCCUGCUUCAGCUCACCCUCUCCGUGGGCUACACCCACUGUCCAACCAGUUCCAGGUACUUCAGUUGGAAAUGCAGAAAUCAUCUGUCUUCUGUGUUGAUAGUGCUGGAGCUGUAGACCAGAGCUGUUCCUAUUUGGCCAUCUUUGUGCCUCCCCUUGUUUUUUUUUUCUUCUGAUUUCAACUUGACAGCAGAACUCAACCAUGCUGAUGGUGCAGACGCAGGUUGGUAGGAACUUUUCAUUGUUUGAUUCUGACAUUUAUGAUAAAUGGAUUCACUUACUAAAGUUUUGUAGAGAGAGUAAUAACUAUUUAAUCACCUAGAUGAUAUUUCCUUUAUAAAAUCAAACAUAUCUGGUGGUUUUAGAGCAAUAUUUUUUACCUCAGUCACUUGUGUUUAUUAGACAAGAAUACUAAGUGUCAAGAUGUUUGCAUUGCCUUUCAUAUUUUUAUUUAGGGGACAGUGUAAUGAUAAAUGACUUUGAAUAUAUAACCAGACACACCUUCAUCCCCCCCCAAAUCUGUGCUAAUUUACUGUUUUUUAUAUUUCAUGCAUGAAGCUAAAUUGUUUUUACCCAUGGGUUAAAGCAAAAUGAUACAAUGAUACCUGAAUCCUGGCCAAAUAACAUGAAAUGGCAACUGCAAAAUUGUUCUGCAAAAUUUUACAAGGUAUUAUGGUAUUGAGGAUAUCCCAAGAAAACUUGAGAGGCAUUAUCUUUCUCAUUGGAGACUGAUAUUCCUGUAUCAAGUAAAGUCUCAGGAAAAAGAACUAUGUGUGACUAUUUUAAUGCAACCUCUUGGUUGAAAUAAAAUGAUUAAAAGUAGUGUUUAUCUUGUUGAUAACUGAGAAGCAAAUAUUAAAAAUUUUGUUCUGAGAUGAAGAGAGUUCACAUGAUAAGUCUCUGGGAUGUGAAGUAAACUGGGAAAGCACCAGGACCAUUUCUAAGACAUACAGUUAAUCAGGGUUUGGAUAAACAGAAUAAUGUUCCCCACUCCCUAAAAAAGAUAUUUACAUCCAAGUUCUUAGAUACUGGAAAUACAUUACAAUUCAUGGCAAAGAGAAUAUAAGGUUGCAAAUGGGAUCAAAAUUGCUGAUAUGCUGAUGAAAAAUAAGAAGACUAUUAUGAAUUAUCAUGGUGGGCCCAGUAGAAUCAUAAGCAUCAAAAACCAUGGAAGAGUGAAGAAUAAACCGUAUCAAAGUGAUAGAUCAUGAGAAAGACUCAAUUGGAUAUAUUUUUAAUUGUUUGCUUUAGUGAGUCUUUCCACUUUAGCAUACAUUUUAUUCAAUUCGACUGUGCAAAUGUGAUUCAUUUUAUAUGCCUGUCACUGAAUUGGGUGCUAAAAAUAAAAUGAGAGAACACAAAAUAACAAAAAUUGAUUUCUAAAGAUGGAGGGCAAAGGGCAUUAGGAAUAUAGAUAGUGUGCACCCUAUACAGGCAUGAUUGUAAAUGUAUUCAUUAUAUAUAGAGAGUAAUAAUUAUAUAUAUAUAAUUAUUUGGCUUAGAAAAGAGUGCAGGGGGUACAUUAUCAAGAAUUUAGCAUCAAGGUUAAUCAAGAAUAAGUGAGUAAAAUAAAAAUAAUAAUGAUGGUAAUAAUUUCAAACACUGAAGAAAGAACAUUGAUGAUAUGAGUCAUUUUUUUUCAGAUCUACAAAAUAUGUUUCUUCUAUGCCAUUAGGAUGAACACAGUUUUCACUUACGUUAUCUUUUAAAAAUGCCUUUAAUUGUCAAGCUAGCAUUAGAAUCUCAGCCAACAUCUUCCAUCUUCUCUUCCACAUUUUUACAUUCUUUCAGGAUCAUAGGCCUAAGACCCAUGACCUGGUCACCUGUCAUUUGGCCUUUUUCCACCUAGUAAUGCUCUUCACUGCAAUGGAGUUUUUGUCUCCAGACAUGUUUGAGUCACUGAAUUUUCAGAAUAACUUUAGAUGUAAAGCUUUCUUUUUUUUUUUUUUGGAGACGGAGUCUCGCUCUGUUGCCCAGGCUGGAGUGCAGUGGCGCGAUCUCAGCUCACUGUAAGCUCCACCUCCCGGGUUCAUGCCAUUCUCCUGCCUCAGCCUCCCAAGUGGCUGGGACUACAGGCGCCUGCCACCACGCCCGGCUAAUUUUUUUUGUAUUUUUUAGUAGAGACGGGGUUUCACCGUGUUAGCCAGGAUGGUCUCGAUCUCCUGACCUCGUGAUCCACCCGCCUCGGCCUCCCAAAGUGCUGGGAUUACAGGCGUGAGCCACCGCACCUGGCCUAAAGCUUUCUUCUAUUUGCAGAAGGUGAUGAGGGGCCUCUCCAUCUGCACCACCUGCCUCCUGAGCAUGUUCCAGGCCAUUACCAUCAGCCCCAGCACCUCCUGGUUGGUGAGAUUUAAACAUAAAUUUACAAAAUACGAUAUCCUGGGCUUAUUCGUUUUUUGGUUUAGCAAUUUGUCUUUCAGUAGCGACAUGAUAAUCUACACUGUAGGUUAUUCCAAUGACCCAGAUAAUUUUGAAUAUCAGCAAAUAUUGCACAUUUUUCCCAAUGAAUGUCCUCAUCAGGGCGCUAUUUCUUAUGCUAUCAUUAUCCAGAGAUGCCUUCUUCAUAGGAAUCACGCUGCUCUCAAGUGUAUACAUGGUCAUUCUUUUGUCCAGGCAUCAGAGGCACUCCCAGCACUUUCACAGCAGCAGCCUUAUAUUAAGGACCUCUCUAGUGAAAAUGGCCACCAAGACCAUCCUGAUGCUGGUGAAUUCCUUUGUGCUGAUGUACUCAGUGGACUUCAUCCUCUCAUCAUCCACAAUGCUGUUAUGGGUAAUUGGCCCUGUCACCUAUGGUGUCCACAAGUUUGUGGUCAAUGCCUAUGCCACUGUCAGUCCUCUGGUGCUAAUCAGAUCUGAUAAAAGAAUCAUCAAUAUUCUGCAAAAGUUUCAAUGGAAGUGCCAUCUAUUUUUAACAAGUUGGUGAUAAAAUUUUCUAAAAAUUAUUUCCUUGUAAUCAAUUAAAUUAUACAAAACACAUAAUUUUCUUUCUGAUUUAAAUAAAACAUGUGAAUUGUACUUUUAUAAUAUCUCAAUAUCUUUUAAUUUUUUGGUGCCAAGAACUAUGUGCUUUCCUCAGUUCAAUGUCCACUAUGAUUUUGUAUUCUCAAGGUCUGUCUCUCACCCCUUCAUUUUAAUUUUAACCUGUAUACAGGAAAAUGUUAUUUUCUUCUUGAGUACACUCUUACGCGGCUCCUAUUGGCAAGCAAAUCUCUUAGUUUUAAUUUUUGAAAUUAUUUUAAUUUUUCUUGUUUAUUGAAGAUAUUUAGCUAUAUUCAAAUUCUAGCUUGAAUAAAAAAUUUUUUAAGCAUAAUUUUAAAAUUUGUUUUUAAUUGAAAAUAACAUUGUGUAAGUUUAUUAUGUAUGUUUUGAAUUACAUAUAGAUUAUAAAAUGAUUAAAUCUAGCUAAUUAACAAAUGCAUGAUCUAAAAGUUAUUUUUUGUGGUGAAAACACUUAACAUCAACUACCUUUUCAUUUUUCAGGACUGCAAUAUAUCAUAAUUAAGUAUGGCUGCCGUGCUGCGUAACAGAUCUUGUAAAAUAUAUUUCUUCUAUCUAAUAAUAAUUAUGUUUCCUUUGACCAACAUCUUUCCAUCCUGUCCUCCCCACUAACCACCGCAGGCUCUGGUAACCACCAUUCUACUCUCUACUUCUAAGAGAUAAGCUUGUUUAGACUCCACAUUUAAUAAAUUCCUGUGUUAUUUGUCUCUCUGUGUCUGGCUUAUUUCACUUAACACAAUGUCCUUCAGGUUCAUCUAUGUUGUCUUAAAUGGCAGAAUUUUAUUCUGCCAUUUAUUUUAUUAUGCCAUAUAUUUGUGGCCAAAUAGCAUUUCAUUGUGUUUACAUACCAUGUUGUCUUAUCCAUUUAUUCUUUGAUGGGCACUGUGAUUGAUUCCAUAUCUUGGCCAUUGUCAAUAGUGCUGUAAUAAACAUGGGAGUGUAGCUAUCUCUUUAACAUACUGAUUUUAUUUCUGUUGGCUAUAUGCCCAGUUGUGGAAUUGCUGGAACAUACAGUAGUUCCAUUUCAGGUUGAGAAACUUCCAUACUUGUUUUUCAUAGUGGCUGUAUUAAUUUGUAUUCAAACCAACAGUUUAUAAGAGUUCCCUUUAUUCCACAUCCUUGCCAACACUUGUUCUCUUCUGUCAUUUCGAUUAUGGCCAUUCUAGUUAAGAUAAGGUAAUGUCUGGUAUUGUUUUGAUUUGCAUCUCCCUGGAGGUGAUAAACACCAAGACAGAGAAACUGGGAGAUACAAGAGGACAGAAACGACUCAGUGAUAGACACCAUGGAGUCUCAUCCACAAUCGGCACACUCUGAUCUUCUAAUCAAAUGACAAGCCACAGUUCAACUACUCCUUUUAAAGAAAAAUGAGAAAAAAAAUCUCUAAAAUCGAGGACAGGCAAGGAGAGUGUCCCCCUUUGGGCACCCCAGCUGGUUUUAUAGCUGAUAAUUAUAGCACCUCUUCUUGCAAACAUUUGUGUAAAGGGAGGAUUUUACUAAGGACGACCAACAUCUAAGGUUCCCAAAGUGAAGAACUUUAAAUAUUCCCAAACUGGUCUUCUCGUAUGCUAAAUUAGAGAAGUUAGGUUUCUGCAUCAAGGAAAAUAAAUGAGGGUUGUAUUUUAGCUGGCACCUAAAAACAUCCAAAAGUAGAAACGAUAAACUUAUUUCUUUCCAGAAAGGUAACAACAAAAUACUUGAAACUACCUCAGAAUUAAAGAAAAGUAGCAAAAUCAGCUUCUAAAAUCAGGAAGCUGCCAGAAACUCUCUUCUUUUUCUUCUCCUAAACCUCUGCUUUCUAAACUUCCUUGCCUGGAUGAUUUCAUUUUUUUUCUCUUUCUCCUCCCGUAUUCCUUCUUAAACCACAAAGGGUCCAGAAAUAGCUACAGGAGAAGACAAAAUAGUAGUCAUUUCUUUUAAAACAAAACCCACAGGAAGAGUGGGUUCAAACAUAAGAUAUACACCUUACACCAAGUCAGAAUUAAGUGCUCUGAUGUUUGGAUUUCUUGAUCUGACUCAAGACACCUUAGGUUUGCCAAGGAAUUCCAAAUAAUGCUUAAGACCUAUGAUUCAGGGUUUUCAAACCAGUAUCAGCUAACUGAUUUACUAGUCCUCCAAAACAAAGCCAAAGAAUGCUACAAAGUGGUGAAUUAGAAACAGCUUUAGCAGAUUUUAACAAACUAAAGUGCAAAUGGGAGAGAGAAGUGUAGGGAGUUUUGCAACUGCCUCUGUGGGAAUUUACCACAGCUAUUCCCCCUAAUCCUAUAGACUAGGCAAAAUACAGCGAUGUAAUAUAUACCCCAGCAAAACCAUACCUGAUUAUUAUAUCACAUUUAUUUUUAUUUUUUGUGGGUAUACAGUAGUUGUGUGUAUAAAUGGGGUACAUGAGAUACUUUGAUACAGGCAUGCAACGUGUAACAAUCACAGCAUGGUAAAUGGGGUAUCCAUCUCCUCAAGCAUUUACUCUGUAUUACAAAAAUUGAAUUAUAUGAUUUCAGUUAUUUUAAAAGGUACAACUAAAUUAUUAUUGAUUAUAAUAAUUGUCAAUUAUUGACAAUUGCAGUGUUGUGGUAUCAAGUACUACUGUUGUGCUACCAGUACAAACUGUGUUAUCAGUACAAAUACUACUGUUGUGCUAUCAGCACAAAUACCCUGUUGUGCCAUCAAAUAGUACCUCUACCUCUUAUUCAUUCUUUUUAACUAUUUCUUGUACCCAUUAGCCAUCCUCACUUCCCUCCAUGGCCCUACCAAACUGCCCCCCUACUAUGCUUCUCAGCCUCUGGUAACCAUCCUUCUACUCUCUAUCUCCGUUGAGUUCAACUCAAUGGGAUCCUUAGCACCCAUAAAUAAGUGAGAACAUGCAAAGUUUGUCUUUCUGUGCCUGGCUUAUUUCAUUUAACAUAAUAACCCUCAUCCAUGUUGUUAAAAAUGACAGAAUCUCAUUCUUUUUUUCUGGCUCCACUGUGUAUACAUACUACAUUUUCUUUAUCCAUUCAUCUGUUGAUUGACACUUACGUUGCUUCCAAAUCUUGGCUAUUUUCAACAAUGCUGCAACAAACAUGGGAAUGUAGACAUCUCUUCAACAUACUGAGUUCCUUUCUUGUGAGUAUAUACUUAGCAGUGAAAUUGCUGGAUUAUAUGGAGGCUCUAGUUUAGUUUUAUGAGGAAACUCCAAGCUGUUUUCCAUAGUGGUUGUACUAAUUUACAUUUCCACCAACAGUGUACCAGGCUUCCCAUUUCUCCACAUUCUCACUAGCAUUUGCUGUUGCCUGACUUUUGGACAAAAUUCAUUUUAACUGGGAUAAGAUGAUAUCUCAUUGUAGUUUUGAUUUGCGUGUUUCUGAUAAUAUAACUGCUUGCAAUUCAUAUGUCUUCUUUUAAGAAAUGUUUAUUGAAAUAUUUUGCCCAUUUUAAAGAUCAGAUUACUAGAUUUUUUUCCUAUACAGUAGUUUGAGCUGCUUAUCUGUUCUAGUUAUUAAUCCUUUGUCAGGUGAAUAGUUUGCAAAUAUGUUCUCCUAUUCUGUGGGUUGUCUCCUCACUUUAUUGAUCAUUUCCUUUGACAUGCAGAAGAUUUUUAACUUGAUGUAACUUCAUUUGUCCAUAUUUGCUUUGGUUGCGUGUGCUUGUGGGGUAUUACUCAAGACAUUUUUGCCAAGACCUGGAGAGACUUUCCCCAAUGUUUUCUUGCAGUAGUUUUUUAAUUCAAGGUCUUAGAUUUAAGUAUUUAAUCCAUUUUGAUUUGACUUUUGUAUAAGGCAAGAGUUGGGGUUAUAAUUUCAUUCUUUUGCAUGUAGAUAUCCAGUUUUCAAAGCACGAUUUAUUGAAGAGAUUGUCUUUUCCCUAAUUUAAGUUCUUGGCACCUUUGUUGAAAAUGAGUUCAGUGAAAAUGUAUAAAUUUUUUUUCUGGGUUAUCUGUUCAAUUCCAUUGGUUUAUGUGUCUAUUUUUAUGCCAGUACCAGGCUGCUACAGUUACUAUAGCUUUGUAAUAUAAUUUGAAGUCAGUUAAUGUGAUUCCUGCAUUUAAUCUGUGAAUUGCUUUGGGUAAUAUAGAGAUUUUAACAUACUAACACUAUCAAUCCAUGAACAUGGAAUAUCUUUCAAUUUUUGUGUCUUCAAUUUAUUUUAUGAUUGUGUUAUAGUUUUUGUUGUAGAAAUCCUUUACUUCUUUGGUUGAUUUCUAUGUAUUUAGUUCUAUUUGUGGCUAUGAUAAAUGGUAUUUCUUUUUAAAUUCUUUUUCAGAUUGUUCACUCUUGGCAUAUAGAAAUGCUACUGAUUCCUGCUGGGCGCAGUGGCUCACGCCUGUAAUCCCAGCACUUUGGGAAGCUGAGGUCAGGAGAUCGAGACCAUACUGGCUAACACGAUGAAACCCCGUCUCUACUAAAAAUACAAAAAAAGUUAGCCAGGCGUGAUGGUGGGUGCCUGUAGCCCCAGCUCCUCGGGAGGCUGAGGCAGGAGAAUGGUGUGAACCCAGGAGGCGGAGCUUGCAGUGAGCCAAGAUUGCACCACUGCACUCCAGCCUGGGUGACAGAGCGAGACUCUGUCUCAAAAAAAAAAAAAAAUGCUACUGAUUUUUAUAUAUUGAUUUGUAUCCAGAAACUCUACUGAAUUUAUCAGUUCUAGUAGUUUUUGUGGAGUCUUCAGGUUUUUUACAAAUAUAAGAUUAUAUCAUCUGCAAAACAAGGAUAAUUUGUCUUCUUCCCUUUAGAUGCCCUUUGUUUCUCUCUCUUGUCUGAUUGCUUUUGCUAGGACUUCCAGUACUACGGAGAAUAACAGUGGUGAAAGUGGGCAUCCUGGUCAUGUUCCAGAUCUUAGAGAAGGGGAUUUCAGUGUUUCCCCUGUCAGUAUGAUACUAGCUGUGGGUAUGUCAUAUAUGGCUUUCAUUAUGUUAAUAAUGUUCUUUCUCUACCCAGGUUUUUGAGGGUUUUUAAUCAUGAUGGGAUGUUGAAUUUUAUCAAAUUUUUUUUAAUGUCUUAAUUUAAAUGAUUAUAUAAUCUUUUCCUUCAUUUUGUUGAUGUGAUGUAUCAUUUGGAUUGAUUUGCAACCAUUCUUGCAUCCUUGUGAUAAAUCACACAUGAUCAUGAAGAAUGAUAUUUUUAAUGUAUUGCUUAAAGGUUUGUUAGCAUUUUGUUGAGGAUUUUUGCAUCAAUAUUAAUUGGAGAUAUUGUAGUUUUCUUUUUUUAAAGUGUCUUUGAUUUUGGUAUAAAGGUAAUUCUGGUGUUAUAGAAUGAGUUUGGAAGUAUUCCCCAUCUCUAUUUUGUGGAAUAGUUUCAGUAGGAUUGGUGUUAGUUCUUUAAAUGCUUGUUAGAAUUCAGUAGUGAAGCCAUAGAAUAUUGGGGCUUUUCUUUACUGGGAGACUUUUUAUUACAGCUUUGAUCUCAUUAUUUGUUAUUGGUCUGUUCAUGUUUUGUAUUUCUUUGUGUUUCAAUUUUGGUGUGUUUCUUGGCCCUAGUCUGGUCCACUCAGACCUGCUCCAUGCUCACCAUCAGGCAGCUGGUGGUCCUUCUUGAAGAGUGAGUGCAGCAGGGACCAGCGGUUGGGCUGAAGCCCCUUCGCCUCAUGCGGACUCUCCAAUACUCAUUGAACUUCAUGGUGAGGGACAGAGGACCCACCCUGGCUCUCAGCGGGAGAGCAGGGAGUUCUUGUUCAAGGAAGCCCCUGGGGCUGCCACAGGAGGCAGCCCUUGGGAAAAAGCGCCCAAGGCCCCCCUCAACCGGCCAUCCUGCCUCCUCUGCAGGACCUUCUCUUCCCCUCUUUCCCUCCCUCCUGAGGUGAAAAGGAGGGGAGGAGACCACGGAGCCCACUGUGUCAGGGAAACCUGGCCCUUCCUUUUGAGCAUCCAGGGGACUCGCAUGGGUCUCACCCCUUCUCCAGGACCUGAAAGCUUCUCUCUCUGAAGAGCCCUGAGUUCCAGUCUCAAGUGUCUCGUUCCCCAUUGCCUCCUGCUUCUCCUUUCAUCCCCGCCACCACCACCUGGGGCUCACACUCCCUGCCUUUGGGCUUCAAAUGUUGUACUACGUGCUUGACCCACUAGCCUGCUUAAUCUUCAAAAUCACUCUAUCAAAAAGACAUUUUAGGCUGGGCCUGUAAUCCCAGCACAUUGGGAGACCCAGAUGGGCUGAUUACUUGAGUGUAUGAGUUACAGACCAGUCUGGGAAACAUAACAAGAUCCUGUCUCUACAAAAAUAGAAAAAAAUAGAAAAAAAUUAGUGGAGUGCUGUGGCACAUGUCUGUAAUCCCAACUACUUGGGAGGCUGAGGUGGGAAGAUUGCUUGAGCCUGGGAUGUCGAGGCUGCAGUGAGCUGAGAUCAUGUCACUGCACUCCAGCCUGGGCAACAGACUGAGACCCUGUCUCAAAAUAAAAAUAAAAAUAAUUAAAAAGGGAAAUUGCCGAAAUCAUUUAACCAAUAAGAUGAGCACCUACCUAUCAGGGACAAUAAAAGUUUAAAGGGGCCAACAAUUAUGAAGGCAGUAUUGAAUUCACUUGAAAUAUGAAGAACACCACAUUGGGUGAAUUUAGAUAGGAAGGCCAAGGAGAUAUUCCUAGGAAUAUCAUUAUAUAUGGAAAACACUGAAAAAAGACACUGCAGUGUUUGAGAAAAUAAUGGCCAUAGAAACAGAUUUCAUGGACCUUCCAGCUUAUGAAAAAAUCAACUGAAAUUGCUCAACAUUAGGUUAGAACAUUAAAAAGGAAAAAUAAGCCAUUAUAGAAGGAGAGAAUUGGAAUAGGGGACAGGAAUGACCCAUUUCCCAGUCUCUGCCUAGAACAGGGCUGGGGAAAAAUCUGUGGUCAUCAUAUUCACCAUUGCAUAAACACAUAUUUUUUCUAUAUGUCAGCAAGGAGCAAGUGCUACCAAGACAAGGCAAGGAAAAGGAAUAGAGAAUAUUGCUGGGUGCUUUUCUGUAGGGUGAUCAGGAAAGGCCUCACUGAAAAAGAGACAUUAGAGCAGAGCAAGUGAGAGAGAGAGAGUCAUAGAGAGAUCUGUGGGAAGAGCAUUCCACGUGAGGGCAACAGACACUGCAAAGGCCCCGAGGCAGGGAGUGCUUGGCAUGUCUGAGGAGCCAGAAAAAGGCCAGUGGAGCUGGAAUGGAGUGAGUGAGGAGUAAUAGGGGCAGAACACAUACGGCCUUAGAGAUCAUGGCUCUAGGUGUUUUAUUUUCCAAUUUUUAAAAUUGUGUUAAAAUACACAUAACAUAAACUAUAGUAGUUUAACCUUGCUUAAGUGAACAGUUCAGUAAUAUUAACAUUCAUAUGGUUGUGCAACCAUUACCACCAUCCAUCUCCAGAAUUCUUUUCAACUUGUAAAACUGAAACCCUCUGUCAUUAAACAAUAGCUCUCUGUUCUCCCUUCCACCCAGCCCCAGGCAAGCACCAUUCUACUUUCUGUCUGUAUGCAUUUGACUAUUCUUGGGACCUUAUAACAGCAGAAUCUAUGGUAUUUGUCUUUUCUGACUUAUUUCACUUACUCUAAUAUCUUCAGGGUUAUUUUAAUAUUAUUUGUCAGAAUUACCUUCCUUUUGAGAAAUGAAGAAUAUUCCAUUAUGUGUAUAGACCACAUAUCCAUUCAUCUGUCAUGGACAUUAGAGUUGUCUCCACAUUUAAGCUAUUAGUGAAUAAUUCUGCUAUGACCAUAGAUGUACAAAUACUUCUUUGACUCUGCUUUGAAUUUCUUUGUGUAGACACCCAGAAGGGAAGUGCUGGAUCAUGUGAGCCUCCAACCCACUGUCUGCAGUUGUCCUUGCGCCUCCACUCCGCUGUCCCCAGAGCUGUCAUUGAUGUUCCACCCUACUAUCUUGGAGCUGGUUUGAGUCUGCACCCUGCUGUUCUUGGAGCCUAGAAAGCCCACCAGGCCUGGCCAAACUCCACCCCUCCCUUGGUCUCUCCUCCCAGGCAUCAGCACUUUGGAAAAGCCAUUAUGCACCUUUUAAUAUCUACGAAAGGUGCCUCAGGAAGGCAUGGAGAGGUCACCACUUCCAGGUUAUGGUGUCUCACCUGUGUCCACUGGCCCCAUGCUGGCCCUUUAAGGGGUAAGAGCAGAACAGGCUGGGAGACUACACCUCUUUUCUCAGAGUGGCUAUAGAUAAAGCCAGAAAGGGGACAGGAGAAUGUGGUGCUGUGGGCAGGAUGCUGAGGGCAGAGGCCCCUCCCCACAGGUGCUGAGCAGGUCGGGCAAGGAGGAGCUUCCAGCCUCCAUCCAGGCAGGACUUCUGACCACUGCUAGAGGCCCCUUCUCAGGAGGUCCUGUCCCAGCCAAGGGCCAGCUCCAGAGACUUUUGUCCAUCUUCCCUAAGAUGGACACGAUGCAGGUGGCUGUGUCUGGGCCCUAGAAAUUUCAGGACUGAGCCAUGGUGAAGACAGGAGGGGAUUGUGGGCCCUGGAUGUCCCUGUGCAGCCCAUGCCUCUAGCUUGGACCAUUCACCGCCCAGGUACCUCCUCGCUAGGUCUCCAAGCCCCAGUGGUCAUGUGACAGGCCAUGGGGCAGGGCUGGGAUGGGUUCAGGGCUCCAUGUGCUUCCUGAGAGGGCUGAAGGGUUGCAUCCCUCCAGAGCAGCCCAAGGCAUAGUAGCCACUGCUACCCCACUCAGUCUCGGUGAGCAGGCUUGUCGGGGAUGUAGGGGCCUGGUCCUCCAGUGGCAGGUAGGCAGGCAGCGGUGCCUCUCACUCCUCACACUCUGCUGGCAGCAUAUCCUCCAAACUUGGGGCCCCUAGGAGGUGUCCCCAUGCCCUCCUGCUCUCCUCCAGGCUGACAGAUUUCCAGGGACAUGCUGAGUCACAGGUGAGUACUGCAGUGGCCUCUCGCACACUGAAUUCCAAGGCUCCUUGCGAGGUGCUGGCACAGUCCUGGCUCAGCUGCACGCUGGCCCUGUGGGCCCCCAUCCAGGUUAGAAGCAGAGUAUGGGAUGAGGAAAGGGAUCAGGCAGCAUGAUCAGAACUCACCCUGGGAGUGGCAGCCUCCUCCUCAGCAAGCCCUCCCUCCUCCUCCAAGAAGCCCUCCUGAUGUCCACACCCAGAGGCCAAGCAGCACCUGUGCCAGGAGCAUUCUGUCUUCCUUACUAUGUGCCAGCUCAGCCUCAACAUGGGACCCUGAGUCUCUUCAAGUCCCCUCACUGCUCCCCUAGCACAGAGCCUGGUGCUCACAGCAGCCUGCACCAGGGUACAGAUGGUGACAUGUGCUGAGGAAAAAACAAACACUUGGCAGCAUGCAGCAUGUGUCCCAGGGCCUUUCAGCAGCUACAGAGACUGGGUACCCCCACCUGAACAAUUUUCUCUGUCUCUCUCUCUCACACACACAUAGCAUGACGGACAGGUGACACGAAGACUGGUGACUUUCAAGGUGCUUGGGAAAGGCCAGCAGACCUGAAUCCUUCUGUGGGGACACAGGAGACCUCUGCUUCCAAAAGGAAGCUCUUCCCUAGGUGGGACCAGAAGUAUCCAUCCAACACGCCACACACACACCACACCCUCCAUCACUGCACUGCUCCCUGCCAGACCCUCACCCAAGGCCUAAAUAAUCCCUGGCAGAUGCCCUGGUUCUAUAGAGAAGGGCUGGUGUCUGCAAGGGGAUGACACAGGCCAGGGUACGAUCACAACCUCUGCCCCGCUCAGACUUGUCCUCAGCUGCCCAGGCUCUUGACAGUCACAUUUGCCACUGUGAGGAAAGAUGGGAAAUCUGCCAAGACCCAAGUGCUCAGUUUUAAGCUUUAAAUUAUAUUUUUGAACAACAAUCCUAAGAACUGGGCUUCCUGUUGAAAGGGAAAAUGAUUUUUCUACAUAAUAUGCUGGCAAUACUGUGUGGAGGGGAUAUCUCUGCUGCACAGGGUCCAGGGAAGCCCUGCAGCACCAGGAAAGGAGAUCCUGGUGUCACCCUACAAGGAAGAAGCUGAGACAAAGUUAAUCUUAGUAGAGAGUUUAUUUGAGACAAACUUCAGGAUUGCAACUCUGGAGCAUAGAUUCAAGUUAUCCUGAAUAUACACUGCAAUUAGCAGCAGUUAUGAGCUGAUUUUUAAAGGCAAAACAAGGUGGGCAGGGAAGGGGCAGAUACAAUUCCUCAGGAAUUUUAGUUGGUUCAUAGCAAUAACACUGCUUAGUGAUGGGCCGUACACUGUUAAGCUAUAGGGUGUGGGGUAUGGCGUCUGGUGUGGCAUUAUGAGGUAAAUUCAUAGCUACUUCUGGCAACAGCAGUAUCAAGAAAUGAAUACACAGCUCAAUGUGAGGGAGUAGGACAUGACUGUGGUCUCAUUUUAAUGCCUCUUUCUGGGCCUGAUAAUUAAAGCACUUGCAUUUCUCAGAUAAAAGUUAUUUUAUUUUCCUGACUGGUAAAGACCCAGGUCAGCUUGGUCCAGACCGCAGGGAGAGGCCCUCAUGCCCUGUGUCCUUUGCCCAAAGUGAGAAGCCUGAGGGAGCACACUGGAGCCCACCCCUGGAGCUCUCCCUCUGCCCUUCCUCCUACCCACGGGGCAUGAACUGCCAGCUCAGCAGGGAGGGGAGGGUCCUAUGUGACCCCCAAGUAGUUCGCUGAUACAUGGGCUGUGGGAGCCAGACGAGGCCCACAGAGGGGGAAAUGCAGAGCCCAUUCCUGACUCUGGUGCCAAUGUGUGACUCCAGGGGAAUCGAAGGGGUGGGCAGACCAGGAGCCCAGGGUCAGUGAGGGUCCCAGGGGCAGCACAAGUGCUGGAGACCCUCCCCGACAGCCACCGGACAGACACUCACAGAAGGAGGAGGUGAGACCCAUGGUGGGCACGGAUAGCUGCAAAGCAGAGGAAACAGAGAUAAGUUAUGAGAAACUUAUAUAUAUUUUCCAUCAACCAUGGAAUGGAAGACACAAGAAAAAUAAAUCAUCAAUGGAAAAUAAAGUGGUUUUUUUUUGUCCACUUGAGACACAGAGGAUAAAUUUAAAUUCACUGUAUACACACACAAAAAGGCUCAGAACACUCAUAAGUCGCCCACAGUGGCCCCCAACCGUCAUCAAAGCCAACAUCCUGGGCAGGCUAGACCUUGGGGCAACACCUGCCUUCCAUGCCCUGUGGCAGUCUCUGCACUCUCCUGAAGUUCCCAUUGUGCGCACUGUAGGGGGCUGGAAGAAUGUUGCUGGAGAGGACAUAUUCUGGAAGAGGGUUCUUUCCACCCUGAGGCCAGGAGAAGACAGUCAGAGGCCCACGGGGACCCAGGUCGGGGCUCCUGCUGAGGCCCCAGUCGGUACGAGGUCACUGCAGGGGCUGAGCUCCCUUCCAUCCAGGAAGACCUUAUCUGCCUCAUUCCUGCCACUGCCUCUCUCCCGUCUCACCCCAUCCAAACCUACUCUCAUCUCAGGGCAGGAUCCAACUGGGUACCCUGUGGCCUCGUUGGCUAACUGAUUUAUACUAAGGUAUGUGUCCUUUACAGUGUGAGCUGUGAUGGUGAGUUUAGAAUUGACUCGCCAUGACUGCAGCCUGCAGAGGGAGCCAGCACCUCCAGGAACCCCAUUCUUGCCAUCAGCAGAGGGUCUAUGGCUCCCACCUCAUCCAGUGUCUCCCUGAGCACCAUGUCUGCCUGACCAGGACCCAGUGGUCCUCCCAUGAGGAUGCUGCCUAGGGCUCCAACCCAAUAGGUCCAAAUACACCUCACCAACCUCCCCUCGGGGCUGUCCCCCCAUUCCCCACCUCAGGGUCGGGUCACUACUCAUAUCUCAUCCACCCACAUGUCUCCUCAGUCUCAAGACUCUGCAAUUUCCUCCAUGUGGCUCCAUCUCCACUUUUCCCACCAGCUCAAGCCAAAUCUUAUCUCUAUGGACAUCCCAUUGGCCCUCAUCAGGUCCCCCAUGUCUGCUUGUUCCUGCAAUCCAUUCUCAAAACAUAAAGCAUAACAUGUCACACAGUUUCACACUCUUCAGCACUUUCCUUUGCUCUGAGGAGAAGCCAGGCACCCACUCACCUGGCCCCACCCAGCACCCCCAUCCCCACACACUCUUCCUUGCAUCCUCCCUGCUACCUGAUGGGGCCCCUGUGCCCCUCUUGUAAGCUGACAUGCAGUGCACAUUGGGGAUGGCUUACUGAAGAGGCCCCUUGUCUGUCCUGUUCUCUAAGACAUCUGCAGAGGCAAGAACAGAUCCUGUGCAUAUCAGAUGCCCCCAACUGUGCUUUCACACAAUGUGUGAACAAAGAAGCAAACCAAGCUCCUCCAGAGGCAGGAGACAAGGACCUCCGGCUUCUUGGUCCCCGUGACACCGGGUCUGGUUGAGGCCAAGCUGCCCUCAUCUUUGACCUGUUCUCUCCUUCCCUUCUCUCCCCAGGCAACAUGAGAACCUCCAACUGGCCCAGGGAAGGAACUUGUAAAGCCCACCCCAACCAGGAUAAGACAGUGGGGCAUAAAUGGGAGGAGAGGGGUUGGCUGUCAGUGCCACACUCAAUGAACACUCACACAUGCACACACUGAUGCGUGCACACACGUGACAUAAGUACACACGGUGACAUCCCAAUACAUUCACAAACAUACACAACACAAACAGGCCCAAACCCUCACUCUGAAACCUAACCCCACCCCCAAACUGCAACCCGGAACUCAAGUCCUAGCCUGAACCUUGACCCCAAACCCCAACUCAAGUCAGAAGGUAAACCAUGGGCCGAAUCCCGAACUGGAACUCAAACCCCAGCAGGAACCUGAACUCUUCCAUUGUCUUUCCUCAUCUGGCGCAUGGGACUCAGCACCUGAGACUCUGUUGUGGCCCUCUGAAUGAGCUGCGCCCCUCGUUCUUGUCCUCUCCACCAGCUGCGCUCCCUGUCCCUCUUCUCCCAAGGAGCCACCCGGCCCAUGUCCCCCGCCCCGGUGGUCCCGAUGAGAUGCACCCAGGCUGACCCAGGGUGCAAAUCCCCACCCCAAUCCCCAACGCAAACCCUGAACGAGAGGCCUCGUCUAAACUUUAAUCCCAAACUCCACCUCAAAUUGGAACCGGAACCACAGAUGGAAGCCUGAACCGGAACUCAAAGCCCAGCUGGAACCUGAACCCCGCCCUCGCCUGUGAGCACCUGCGCCCGGGUCUCGCCCUCCCCACGAGCUUCACCUCUGACCCCGACCUCCCCUAGAACUGCGCUUUCUACCCCGCAGUCCCAGGGUAUCGCAAGCCGUCCCUCACACCCCACCUCCAGCAACGCCCUCUCGCCCUGUCUCCCCCACCUUCACUGUGAGCUGCAGCCCCCAUGUCCCUGCCGUCCCCCUCACCCUCCCGGGAGCUGUGCCCACCUGACCCGGCAUUUGCGCCUUUGUCUUCGUGGCCCGGAAGUGGCCCCGCCGGCGGAAGCACGAGAAGUGGCCACGUGCUGUACAGCGGCUGGCUGAGGAAGUCGCCCCCCGAGAAGAAGCUGAGGCUCUUUGUGAGUGGGGCAGUGGGGGCGGUACCAGGAGCGCCACGGAGGGUCUGGGGACUCCGGGAGGGGCGUGGGGGAGGCGGCCUGGGUCCACGGGAGGAGCUGCGGGUGGAGGCGACUUCUCCACGUCUGCAUGCGAAGGCGACUCCCCGCCAGUGAGAGACAGGGUCCAGGUUUGUGUGGGUUGCGUUCCGAGACCCAGGGAGUUGAUUCCAGGGCUGGGGACCCUAUUACCUUGAGCGCCGUGGGCCUGCAGGUCGGAGAGUGGGCGGGAAAGGGGACACAGCAGGCUCCGCAGCCUCGCAAAACGGCAGGAACCUCGCACCCGCUCCCCUUCCCUCCCAGGCCCUGAGAAUGGCGGGCACCUCGCACCCUCUCUCCUUCCCUCCCAGGCCCCAAGGAAGGCAGGCGCCUUAAACCUGCUCACCUUCCCUCCCAAGCCCCGAGAAGGCAGGCACCUCACACCCUCUCCCUUUCCCUCCCGGGCCCCAGGAAAACGCGGGCACCUCGCACCCGCUCGCUCCCCUUCCCUCCUCACCCGCCACUCCCGGGGUCGUUCGCGUCCUUCCAUGCCACCACGCCUGCUGAGGGACAGUGUGCACUGCAGUGUAGUUUUCUAUAUAUUAAUUCAUGUGGUUAAACGAUUUAGAAAAAAAGAAGAUUGGUUGCCCUUUCCCCUAGUGGCUAAUUUGAAGAGUGUUGUUCUAAAUUUCAACAAUUUUACUGAGGAAGCGGUAAUUGUUAGGAGUCACUAUGAUUAUACCAAGGUACAUAGAAGAGGCUUUUCUCUCCUGUUCCUUAGCCCCAGGUCCAGCCCUUCAAGAAUCUAUUCCAGAAUAAGCUGAUCCUAUAGUCAUCUUCCCUUUCCUCUGCUUCCCUGAGGUAUGGGGUAUGAUCAAUUCUGCGUUCUUGUCUUUCUCCAUUUCUUUUUUCAAUUUUUUAUUAUACUUUAAGUUCUGGGAUACAUGUGCAGAACGUGGAGGUUUGUUACAUACAUAUACACGUGUCAUGGUGGUUUGCUGCACCCAUCAACCCAUCAUCUACAUUAGGUAUUUCUCGUAAUGCUAUCCCUUCCCUUGCCCCCCAACCCCAAUAGGCCACAUUGUGUAAUGCUCCCGUCCCUGUGCCCAUAUGUUCUCAUUGUUCAGCUGCCACUUAUGAGUGAGAACAUGGCGGUGUUUGGUUUUCUGUUCCAGUGUAAGUUUGCUGAGAAUGAUGAUUUCCAGCUUCAUCCAUGUCCCUGUAAAGAACAUGAACUCAUUCUUUUUUAUGGCUGCAUAAUAUUCCAUAGUGUAUAUGUGCCAUAUUUUCUUUAUCCAGUCUAUUAUUGAUGGGCAUUUGGGUUGGUUCCAAGUCUUUGCUGUCGUGAAUAGUGCUGCAAUAAACAUACGGGUGCACUUGUCUUUAUAGUAGAAUGAUUUGUAAUCCUUUGGGUAUAUACCCAGUAAUGGGAUGGCUGGGUCAAAUGGUAUUUCUAGUUCUUGAUCCUUGAGGAGUCGCCACACUGUCUUUGACAAUAGUUGAACUAAUUUACACUCCAACCAACAGUGUAAAAACAUUCCUAUUUCUCCACAUCUUCUCCAGCAUCUGUUGUUUCCUGACUUUUUAAUGAUGGCCAUUCUAACUGGCGUGAGAUGGUAUCUCGUUGCAUUUCUCUAAUGACCAGUGAUGAUGAGCAUUUUUUCAUGUUUGUUGGCCACAUAAAUAUCUUCUUCUGUUAAGUGUCUGUUCAUAUCCUUUGCCCACUUCUUGAUAGUGUUGUUGUUUUUUUCUUGUAAAUUUGUUUAAAUUCCUUAUACAUUCUGGAUAUUAGCCCUUUGUCAGAUGGAUAGAUUGGAAAAAAUUUCUGCCAUUCGGUAGGUUGCCUGUUCACGCUGAUGAUAGUUUCUUUUGCUAUGCAGAAGCUCUUUAGUUUAAAUAGAUCCCAUUUGUCAAUUUUGGCUUUUGUUACCAUUGCUUUUCAUGUUUUAGUUAUGAAGUCUUUGCCCAUGCCUAUGUCCUGGAUGAUAUUGCCUAGGUUUUCUUCUAAGGUUUCUAUGGUUUUAGGUCUUACGUUUAAGUCUUUAAUCCAUCUUGACCCCGACCUCCUUCAGAACUGAGUUAAUUUUUGUAUAAGAUAUAAGGAAGGGGUCCACUUUCAGUUUUCUGCCCAUGGCUAGCCAGUUUUCCCAACACCAUUUAUUAAAUAGGGAAUCCUUUCCCCAUUGCUAGUUUUUGUCAGGUUUGUCAAAGAUCAGAUGGUUGUAGAUGUGUGGUGUUAUUUCUGAGGCCUCUGUUCUGCUCCAUUGGUCUAUAUAUCUGUCUUGGUACCAGUAACAUGUUUUGGUUACUGUAACCUUGUAGUACAGUUUGAAGUCAGGUAGUGUGAUGCUUCCAGCUUUGUUAUUUUUGCUUAGGAUUGUCUUGGCUAUACGGGCUCUUUUUUGGUUACAUGUGAAAUUUAAAGUGGAUUUUUCUAAUUCUGUGAAGAAAGUCAAUGGUAGCUUGAUUGGAAUAGCAAUGAAUCUGUAAAUUACUUUGGGCAGUAUGGCCGUUUUCACAAUAUUGAUUCUUCCUAUCCAUGAGCAUGGAAUGUUCUUCCAUUUGUUUGUGUCCUCUCUUAUUUCCUUGAGCAGUGGUUUGUAGUUCUUCUUGAAGAAGUCCUUCACAUCUCUUGUAGGUUGUAUUCCUAGGUAUUUUAUUCUUUUGGUAGCAAUUGUGAAUGGGAGUUCACUCAUGAUUUGGCUCUCUAUUUGUCUAUUAUUGGUGUAUAGGAAUGCUUGUGAUUUUUGCACAUGGAUUUUGUAUCCUGAGACUUUACUGAAGUUGCUUACCAGCUUCAGGAGUUUUUGGGCUGAGAUGAUGGGGUUUUCUAAAUAUACAAUCAUGUCAUCUGCAAACAGAGACAAUUUAACUUCCUCUCUUCCUGUUUGAAUACCGUUUAUUUCUUUCUCUUGCCUGAUUGUCCUGGCCAGAACUUCCAAUACUAUGUUGAAUAGGAGUGGUGAGAGAGGGCAUCCUUGUCUUGUGCCGGUUUUCAAAGGGAAUCCUUCUAGCUUUUGCCCAUUCAGUAUGAUAUUAGCUGUGGGUUUGUCAUAAAUAACGUAUUAUUUUGAGAUAUGUUCCAUCAAUACUUAGUUAAUUGAGAGUUUUUAGCACGAAGGGGUGUUGAAUUUUAUCGAAGGCCUGUUCUGCAUCUAUUGAGAUAAUCAUGUGGUUUUUGUCAUUGGUUCUUUUUAUGUGACGGAUUACGUUUAUUGAUUGUUUGUCAUAAAUAACUUAUUAUUUUGAGAUACGUUCCAUCAAUACUUAGUUUAUUGAGAGUUUUUAGCACGAACGGGGUGUUGAAUUUUAUGGAAGGCCUUUUCUGCAUCUAUUGAGAUAAUCAUGUGGUUUUUGUCAUUGGUUCUUUUUGUGUGAUGGAUUACGUUUAUUGAUUUGCAUAUGUUGAACCAGCCUUGCAUCCCAGGAAUGAAGUCGACUUGAUCGUGAUUGAUAAGCUUUUUGAUGUGCCUGGGUUCGGUUUGCCAGUAUUUUAUUGAGGGUUUUUGCAUUGAUGUUCAUUAGGGAUAUUGGCCUGAAAUUUUAUUUUUUUGUUGUGUCUCUGCUAGGGUUUUGUAUCAGGAUGAUGCUGGCCUCAUAAAAUGAGUUAGGGAGGAGUCCCUCUUUUUGCAUUGUUUGGAAUAGUUUCAGAAGGAAUGGUACCAGCUCGUUUUUGUACCUCUGGUAGAAAUCGGCUGUGAAUCGGUCUGGUCCUGGGCUUUUCUUGUUGUUGUUGAUAGGCUAUUAAUUAUUGCUUCAAUUUCAGAAUUUAUUAUUGGUUUAUUCAGAGAUUUGACUUCUUCCUGGUUUAGUCUUGGGAGGGUGUAUGUGUCCAGGAAUUUAUCCAUUUCUUAUGAAUUUCCUAGUUUAUUUGCAUAGAGGUGUUUAUAGUAUUCUCUGAUGGUAGUUUGUAUUUCUGUGGGAUCAGCGGUGAUACCCCUCUAUCAUUUUUUGUUGUGUCUAUUUGAUUCUUCUUUGUUGUGUCUAUUUGAUUCUUUAUUAGUCUGGCUAGCGGUCUAUCUAAUUUUUUAAAAAACAGCUCCUAAACUUACUGAUUUUUUGAAGGGUUUUUUUGUGUCUCUAUCUCCUUUAGCUCUGCUCUGAUCUUAGUUUGUGUUCUGCUAGCUUUUGAAUUUGUUUGCUCUUGCUUCUCUAGUUCUUUUAAUUUUGAUGUUAGGGUGUCAAUUUUAGAUCUUUCCUGCUUUCUCUUGUGGGCAUUUAGUGCUAUACAUUUCCCUCUAAACACUGCUUUAGCUGUGUCCCAGAGAUUGUGGUACAUUGUGUCUUUGUUUUCAUUGGUUUAAAAAAAAUCUUUAUUUCUUCCUUGAUUUUGUUAUUUACCCAGUAAUCAUUCAGGAGCAGGUUUUUCAGUUUCCAUGUAGUUGUGCAUUUUUGAGUGAGUUUCUUAAUCCUGAGUUCUAAUUUGAUUGUACUGGGGUCUAAGAAACUGUUAAGAUUUCCAUUCAUUUACAUUUGCUGAGGAGUGUUUUACUUCCAAUUUUGUAGUCAAUUUUAGAAUAAGUGAGUGCUAUGUGGUGCUCAGAAGAAUGUAUAUUCUGUUGAUUUGGGGUGGGGAGCUCUGUAGAUGUCUAUUAGGUCCACUUGGUCCAGAGCUGAGUUCAGGUUCUGAAUAUCCUUGUUUCAUUUCUGUCUUGUUAAUCUGCCUAAUAUUGACAGUGGGGUGUUAAAGUCUCCCACUAUUACUGUGUGGGAGUCUAAGUCUCUUUCUAGGUCACUAAGAACUUGCUUAUGAAUCUGGGUGCCCCUGUCUUGGGUGCAUAUAUAUUUAGGGUAGUUAGCUCUUCUUGUUGCAUUGAUCCCUUUACCAUUAUUUAAUGCCCUUCUUUUCGUUUUUGAUGUUUGUUGGUUUAAAGUGUGUUUUAUCAGAGACUAGGAGUGCAAACCCUGCUUUCUUUUGGUUUCCAUUUGCUUGGUAAAUAUUCUUCCAUCCCUUUAUUUUGAGCCUAUGUGUGUCUUUGCACAUCAGAUGGGUCUCCUGAAUACAGCAUACUGAUGCAUCUUGACUCUAUCCAAUUUGCCAGUCUGUGUCUUUUAAUUGGGGCAUUUAGCCCAUUUACAUUUAAGGUUAAUUUUUUUAAAUUAUACUUUAAGUUUUUGGGUACGUGUGCACAAUGUACAGGUCUGUUACAUAUGUAUACGUGUGCCAUGUUGGUGUGCUGCACCCAUUAACUCGUCAUUUAACAUUAGGUAUAUCUCCUAAUGCUAUCCCUCCCCCCUCGCCCCCAACAACAGGCCCCAGUGUGUGAUGUUCCCCUUCCUGUGACCAUGUGUUCUCAUUGUUCAAUUCCCACCUAUGAGUGAGAACAUAAGGUUAAUAUUGUUAUGUGUGAAUUUGAUCCUGUCAUUAUGAUGCUAGCUGGUUAUUUUGCCUGUUGGUGCAGUAUCUUCAUCCUGUCGGUGGUCUUUACAUUUUGGUAUGUUUUUGCAGUUGCUGGUACCAGUUUUUCCUUUGCAUAUUUAGUGCUUCCUCAGGAGCUCUUGUAAGGCAGGCCUGGUGGUGACAGAAUCCCUUAGCAUUUGCUGGUCUGUAAAGGAUUUUAUUUCUCCUUCGCUUAUGAACCUUUGUUUGGCUGGAUAUGAAAUUAUGGGUUGAAAAUUCUUUUCUUUAAGAAUGUUGAAAACGGAGGUUCCAAGAUGGCCAAAUAGGAACAGCUCCAGUCUACAGCUCCCAGCAUGAGCAAUGCAGAAGAUGGGUUAUUUCUGCAUUUCCAACUGAGGCACUGGGUUCAUCUCACAGGGGCUUGUCAGACAGUGGGUGCAGCCCACGGAGCAGGGUGGGGCAUUGCCUCACCCGGGAAGCACAAGGGGUCAGGGAAUUCCCUUUCCUGGCAAAGGGAAGCCAUAACAGAUGGUACCUGGAAAAUCGGGACACUCCCACCCUAAUACUGCACUUUUCCAAUGGCCCUAACAAACAGCACACCAGGAGAAUAUAUCCCACACCUGGCUCGGGGGGUCCCAUGCCCAUGGAGUCUCGCUCACUGCUAGCACAGCAGUCUGAGAUCAAACUGCGAGGCUGCAGCCAGGCUGAGGGAGGGGCACCCACCAUUGCUGAGGCUUGAGUAGGUAAACAAAGUGGCCUGGAAGCUCGAACUGGGUAGAAUCCACCUCAGUUCAAGGAGGCCUACCUGCCUCUGUAGACUCCACCUCUAGGGGCAGGGAAAAGCUGAAAAUUCUGAAAAUCAGAGCGCCUCUUCUCCUCCGAAGGAAAGCAGCUCAUCUACAGCAACGGAGCAAAGCUGGACAGAGAAUGACUUUGACGAGUUGACAGAAGAAGGCUUCAGACGAUCAGUAAUAAUGAACUUCUCCGAGCUAAAGGAGGAUAUUUGAACCCAUCGCAAAGAAGCUAAAAAUCUUGAAAAAAGAUUAUGCAAAUAGCUAACUAGAAUAAACAGUAUAGAGAAGUCCUUAAAUGACCUGAUGGAGCUGAAAAUCAUGGCACGAGAACUACAUGACACAUGCACAAGCUUCAGUAGCCAAUUUGAUCAAGAGGAAGAAGGCAUCAGUGAUUGAAGAUCAAAUGAAUGAAAUGAAGCGAGAAGAGAAGUUUAGAGAAAAAAGAGUAAAAAGAAACAAACAAAGCAUCCAAGAAACAUGGGACUAUGUGAAAAGACCAAAUCUACGUCUGAUUGGUGUACCUGAAAGUGACGGGCAGAAUGGAACCAAGUUGGAAAACACUCUGCAGGAUAUUAUCCAGGAGAAUUUCCCCAACCUAGCAAGGCAGGCCAAAAUUCAAAUUCAGGAAAUACAGAGAAUGCUGCAAAGAUAAUCUUCGAGAAGAGCAACUCCAAGACACAUAAUUGUCAGAUUCACCAAAGUUGAAAUGAAAGAAAAAAUGUUGAAGUCAGCCAGAGAGAAAGGUCAGAUUACCCACAAAGGGAAGCCCAUCAGACUAACAGCUGAUCUCUCGGCUGAAACUCUACAAGCCAGAAGAGAGUGGAGGCCAAUAUUCAACAUUCUUAAAGAAAAGAAUUUUCAACCCAGAAUUUCAUAUCCAGCCAAACUAAGCUUCAUAAGUGAAGGAGAAAUAAAAUCCUUUACAGACAAAAAAAUGCUGAGUGAUUUUGUCACCACCAGGCCUUCCUUACAAGAGCUCCUGAAGGAAGCACUAAACAUGGAAAGGACAACCUUUGCACAGCCACUGCAAAAACAUCCCAAAUUGUAAAGACCCUUGAUGCUAGGAAGAAACUGCAUCAACUAACGAGCAAAAUAACCAGCUAACAUCAUAAUGACAGGAUCAAAUUCACACAUAACAAUAUUAACCUUAAACGUAAAUGGGCUAAAUGCUCCAAUUAAAAGACACAGACUGGCAAAUUGGAUAAAGAGUCAAGACCCAUCAGUGUGCUGUUUUCAGGAGACCCAUCUCACGUGCAGAGACACACAUAGGCUCAAAAUAAAGGGAUGGAGGAAGAUCUACGAAGCAAAUAGAAAACAAAAAAAAAGCAGGGGUUGCAAUCCUAGUCUCUGAUAAAACAGACUUUAAACCAACAAAGAUCAAAAGAGACAAGGCCAUUACAUAAUGGUAAAGGGAUCAAUUCAACAAGAAGAGCUAACUAUCCUAAAUAUACAUGCACCCAAUACAGGAGCACCCAGAUUCAUAAAGCCUAUACUUAGAGACCUAGAAAGAGACUUAGACUCCCACACAAUAAUAAUUGGAGACUUUAACACCCCACUGUCAACAUUAGACAGAUCAACAAGACAGAAAAUUAACAAAGGUAUCCAGGAAUUGAACUCAGCUCUACGCCAAGCAGACCUAAUAGACAUCUACAGAACUCUCCACCCCAAAUCAACAGAAUAUACACUCUUCUAAGCACCACAUCACACUUAUUCCAAAAUUGACCACAUCGUUGGAAGUAAAGCACUCCUCAGCCAAUGUAGAAAAACAGAAAUGAUAACAAACCAUGUCUCAGACCACAGUGCAAUCAAACUAGUACUCAGGAUUAAGAAACUCACUCAAACCCGCUCAACUAUAUGGAAACUGAACAACCUGCUCCUGAGUGACUACUGGGUACAUAACAAAAAGAAGGCAGAAAUAAAGAUGUUCUUUGAAACCAAUGAGAACAAAGGCACAACAUACCAGAAGCUCUGGGACACAUUCAAAGCAGUGUGUAGAGGGAAAUUUAUAGCACUAAAUGCCCACAAGAGAAAGCAGGAAAGAUCUAAAAUCAACACCCUAAUAUCACAAUUAAAAGAACUAGACAAGCAAGAGCAAACACAUUCCAAAGCUAGCAGAAGGCAAGAAAUGACUAAGAUCAGAGCAGAACUGAAGGAGAUAGAGACACCAAAAACCCUUCAAAAAAUCAAUUAAUCCAGGAGCUGGUUUUUUGAAAAGAUCAACAGAAUUGAAAGACCUCUAGCAAGACUAAUAAAGAAGAAAAGAGAGAAGAAUCAAAUAGAUGCAAUAAAAAGUGAUAAAGGGGAUAUCACCACCAAUCCCACAGAAAUACAAACUACCACCAGAGAAUACUAUAAACACCUUUAUGCAAAUAAACUAGAAAAUCUAGAAGAAAUGGAUAAAUUCCUGGACACAUGCACCCUCCCAAGACUAAACCAGGAAGAAGUUGAAUCCCUGAAUAGACCAAUAACAGGUUCUGAAAUUGAGGCUAUAGUUAAUAGCCUACCAACCAAAGAAAGUCCAGGACCAGAUGGAUUCACAGCCGAAUUCUAUCAGAGGUACCAAGAGGAGCUGGUACCAUUCCUUCUGAAACUAUUCCAAUCAAUAGAAAAAGAGGGAAUCCUCCCUAAUUCGUUUUAUGAAGCCAACAUCAUCCUGUUACCAAAGCCUGGCAGAGACACAACAAAAAAAGAGAAUUUUAGACCAAUAUCCCUGAUGAACAUCAAUGCAAAAAUGCUCAAUAAAAUAGUGGCAAACCGAACCCAGCAGCAGAUCAAAACGCUUAUUCACCACGAUCAAGUUGGCUUCAUCCCUGGGAUGCAAGGCUGGUUCAACAUACACACAUCAAUAAAUGUAAUCCAUCAUGUAAAGAGAACCAGAGACAAAAACCACGUGAUUAUCUCAAUAGAUGCAGAAAAGGCCUUCGACAAAAUUCAACAGCCCUUCAUGCUAAAAACUCUCAAUGAACUAGAUGGGAUGUAUCUCAAAUUAAUAAGAGCUAUUUAUGACAAACCGACAGCCAAUAUCAUACUGAAUGGGCAAAAACUGGAAGCAUUCCCUUUGAAAACUGGCACAAGACAGGGAUGCCCUCUCUCACCACUCCUAUUCAACAUAGCAUUGGAAGUUCUGGCCAGCACAGUCAGGCAAGAGAAAGAAAUAAAGGGUAUUCAAUUAGAAAAAGAGGAAAUCAAAUUGUCCCUGUUUGCAGAUGACAUAACUGUAUAUUUAGAAAACCCCAUCGUCUCAGCCCAAAAUCUCCUUAAGCUGAUAAGCAACUUCAGCCAAGUCUUAGGAUACAAAAUCAAUGUGCAAAAAUCACAAGCAUUCCUCUACACCAAUAACAGACAAACAGAGAGCCAAAUCAAGAGUGAACUCCCAUUCACAAUUGCUUCAAAGAGAAUAAAAUACCUAGGAAUCCAACUUACAAGGGAUAGGAAGGACCUCUUCCAGGAGAACUACAGAACACUGCUCAGCAAAAUAAAAGAGGACACAAACAAAUGGAAGAACAUUCCAUGCUCAUGGGUAGGAAGAAUCAAUAUUGUGAAAAUGGCCACACUGCCCAAGGUAAUUUAUAGAUUCAGUGCCAUCCCCAUCAAGCUACCAAUGACUUUCUUCACAGAAUUGGAAAAAACUACUUUAAAGUUCAUAUGGAACCAAAAAAGAGCUGCAUUGCUAAGACAAUCCUAAGCCAAAAGAACAAAGCUGGAGGCAUCACGCUACCUGACUUCAAACUAUACUACAAGGCUACAGUAAACAAAACAGCAUGGUACUGGUACCAAAACAGAGAUAUAGACCAAUGGAACAGAACAGAGCCCUCAGAAAUAAUACCACACAUUUACAACCAUCUGAUCUUUGACAAACCUGAGAAAAACAAGAAAUGGGGAAAGGAUUCCCUAUUUAAUAAAUGGUGCUGGGAAAACUGGCUAGCCAUAUGUAGAAAGCUGAAACUGGAUCCCUUCCUUGUACCUUAUACAAAAAUUAAUUCAAGAUGGAUUAAAAACUUAAAUGUUAGACCUAAAACCAUAAAAACCCUAGAAGAAAACCUAGGCAAUCCCAUUCAGGACAUAGGCAUGGGCAAGGGCAAGGACUUCAUAAUUAAAACACCAAAGUAAUGACAACAAAAGCCAAAAUAGCCAAAUGGGAUCUAAUUAAACUAAAGAACUUCUGCACAGCAAGAGAAACUACCAUCAGAGUGAACAGGCAACCUACAGAAUGGGAGAAAAUUUUUACAAUCUACCCAUCUGACAAAGGGCUAAUAUCCAGAAUCUACAAAGAACUUAAACAAAUUUACAAGAAAAAAUCAACACCAUCAAAAAGUGGGCAAAGGAUAUGAACAGACACUUAUCAGAAGAAGACAUUUAUGCAGCCAACAGACACAUGAAAAAAUGCUCAUCAUCACUGGCCAUCAGAGAAAUGCAAAUCAAAACCACAAGGAGAUACCAUCUCAUACCAGUUAGAAUGGCAGUCAUUAAAAAGUCAGGAAACAACAGGUGCUGGAGAGGAUGUGGAGAAAUAGGAAGGCUUUUACACUGUUGGUGGGAGUGUAAACUAUUUCAACCAUUGUGGAAGACAGUGUGGCGACUCCUCAAGGAUCUAGAACUAGAAAUACCAUUUGACCCAGCAAUCCCAUUACUGGGUAUAUACCCAAAGGAUUAUAAAUCAUUGUACUAUAAAGACACAUGCACACGUAUGUUUAUUGCGGCACUAUUCACAAUAGCAAAGACUUGGAACCAACCAGACUGGAUGAAGAAAAUGUGGCACAUAUACACCAUGGAAUACUAUGCAGCCAUAAAAAAUGAUGAGUUCAUGUCCUUUGUAGGGCCAUGGAUGAAGCUGGAAUCCAUCAUUCUCAGCAAACUAUUGCAAGGACAGAAAACCAAACACCGCAUGUUCUCACUCAUAGGUGGGAAUUGAACAAUGAGAACACUUGGACACAGGUUGGGGAACAUCACACACCAGGGCCUGUUGUGGGGUGGAGGGAGGGGGGAGGGAUAUCAUUAGGAGAUACACAUAAUGUAAAUGGUGAGUUAACGGAUGCAGCACACCAACAUGGCACAUGUUUACAUAUGUAACAAACCUGCACGUUUUGCGCAUGUACCAUAGAACUUAAAGUAUAAUAAUAAUAAAAAAGAAUGUUGAAUAUUGGCCCUCACUCUCUUUUGGCUUGUAAGGUUUCUGCAGAGAGAUCUGCUCUUAGUCUGAUGGGCUUCUCUUUGUGGGUAGCCCGACCUUUCUCUCUGGCUGCCCUUACCAUUUUUUCCCUUCAUUUCAACCUUUGUCAAUCUGACAAUUACGUGUCUUGGGGUUGCUUUUCUCGAGGAGUAUCAUGGUGGUGGUCUUUGUAUUUCUUGAAUUUGAAUGUUGGCUUGUCUUGCUUGGUUGGGGAAGUUCUCCUGGAUAAUAUCCUUAAGAAUGUUUUCCAAUUUGGUUCCAUUCUCCCUGUCAUUUUCACAUAUACCAAUCAAACAUAGAUUUGACCUUUUCACAUAGUCCCAUAUUUCUUUGAGGCUUUGUUCAUUCCUUAAGUUUUUUUUUCUCUAAUCUUGUCUUCAUGCUUUAUUUCAUUAAGUUAAUCUUCAAUCUCUGAUAUCCUGUCUUCUGCUUGAUCAAUUCGGCUAUUGAUACUUGUUUAUUUUUCACAAGGUUCUCGUACUGUCUCUUUCGGCUUCAUGAAGUCAUUUAUGUUCUUCUCUAAACUGGUUAUCCUAGUUAGCAGUUCCUGUAACCAUUUAUCAAGGUUCUUAGCUUCCUUGCAUUGGGUUAGACCAUGCUCCUUUAGCUCAGAGGAGUUUGUUUUUACCCAUCUUCUGAAGCCUACUUCUGUCAGUUUGUCAAACUCAUUCUCCAUCCAAUUUUGUUCUCUUGCUGGCAAGGAGUUGUGAUCUUUUGGAGAAGAGGCAUUCUGGAUUUUGGAAUUUUCAGCCUUUUUGCCCUGGUUUUUCCUCAUCUUUGUGAAUUUGUCUGUUUUUGGUCUUUGAUGUUGGUGAUCUUUGGAUGGGGUUUUUGCGUGGGUGUCCUUUUUGUUGAUGUUGGUGCUAUUGCUUUCUGUUUGUUAGUUUUCCUUCUGACAGGCUCCUCUUCUGCAGGUCUGCUGGAGUUUGCUGGAAGUCCACUCCAGACACUGUUUGCCUGUGUAUCACCAGUGGAGGCUGCAGAACAGCAAAGAUUGCUGCCUGCUCCUUCCUCUGGAAGCGUCAUCCCAGAGGGGCACCUGCCAGAUGCCAGCUGGAGCUCUCCUGUAUGAGUUGUCUGUCAACCCCUGCUGGGAGAUGUCUCCUAGUCAGGAGGGACAGGGGUCAGGGACCCACUUGAGGAGGCAGUCUGUCCCUUAGCAGAGCUCAGGUGCUGUGCUGGGAGAUACGCUGUGCUCUUCAAAGCCACAGGCAGAACGUUUAAGUGUAAUGAUAUUGAUACACAACAUGGAUGCAGAAGGAUUUCCAGUAAAUUACAGGCACUGGAAGAAAGUGUUGGGAGGAUGAAGACUGGAGCCGAGCAAUCCACAGCUUUCAAGGAUCUGCUUACAGAUUUGGGAAACCGUAUUCCAUUAUCCGCCCAACUAUCUUUGCAGAGUCAUCCUCAUCACUGUUCCCUCUCCUCUACCCUCAGCCCAAAUUCUACACGUAAAGCAAUAUUGGUGAGAGAACAAGCAGAGCCCGUGAAACCAGGCUGCUGGGCUUGAAGUCUUGCUCUGCCACUUUAUGACCAAGGCGUUUAUAGGAUGAAUGCAAAGUUGGCUUAACGUUUAAAAACAGGCCAGUGCAAUUCAUCACAUUAAGAGAAUAAAGAAGAAAAAUCACCUGCUCAUCUGAAUAGAUGCAAAAAAGUAUUUGACCAAAUUUCAACAAACCAUAGAAAAUUAGUCGUAUCUGUGAAAAACCUACAGCUAACAACAUUCUUAAUCAUAAAAUACUGAACGUUUUACCCUAAGAUCAUGAACAAAGCAAGGAUGUCUGUGCGUAUGACUUUUAUGCAGUGUUGUACCAAAGGGUCUAGUCAGUGUAACAAGCAUUAAAAAGAAAUGGAAGUCAUACAGAUUGUAAAAGAUGAAGUAAAGUUGUCUUUAUUCUCAAAAGACAUGAUUGGAUAUACAGGAACUUCUAAGAAAUCUACUUCAAAAAACCCUCCCAGAGCUAGGUGAAUAUAGCAAGAUCACAGAAUUUAGGGUGAACAUAUAAACUUAAUAUAUGGAAAUACGGCUGCAUAAUUUACACAAAAUUGAAAUAAUGCAGUAGCAUAAAAACCCUUACAAUAUAUGAGAGUAAACACCAGCUAGAGUAGUAACAGUACACCUGCUAUGCUCACACUACAUGUAUAUACAUAACACCUGCACCAUGUACACACAGAAUCGUGAAGGCAGCAGCCUCGGCAAUACUUCAGGUGACUGUAAAUAAGUAGCACUUAUUUUUAUGUUCCUCAGCUCUAUCCUGUCUGGCUAUGCCUCAGUCUUCAAUCUUUUUCAAUCCAAGGCUUAUUGGGUACGGUUUAUGCUGGGAGAUUAAGUGAGGCCCAGGAGUUGAUAUAGCAGCAAUGAAGUCUUUGGGACCUUCCAUGAGUCAUUUUAGUGGUGCAGAAGGGGAACAGCCUGAUUAGAGUGAUUUCACAAAACAGGAGAGGAGGAAAUGAAGAUUAGCAAUGAGGAAACUCUUCAGAGUUUUAAGGUAAAGAGGGUAGAAAAACUGGGCCAUAGUUGGAAGAGAAUGCAGGCUGAAACCAAAUUUCUAAUUUUUUUUUUCUAAGAUGGGAGAAAUUUGUGUCUUGAUGGGAAUGAUCCUAGUAGAGGUGGAGAACUGUUGAAGUGAUGUCCGUUUGUGAGCGAGAGGGUGUUCACAAAUGCAAGAAGGUUGGCCUUAGAAUGGAUGAACUCUCUGUGUUCCCCAGUGACAAGGUCCAGGGCUAUAGGCACAGGCAGGCUGGUGGGUGUGGAGGCGGAUCAGGUGCAGAUUCUCUUUUCAUUGCUUAUAUUUUCUCAUGGAAUAAGAAACAAAGAAAUAAGGGUGUUGGAGGUUUAAAGGGAGAGAAGUUGAGAAAUUGUUGCAAAACACUAGGAGAAAACCAUGAACUAGGUAAAUAUGGUAGGACAUUGGGCCACAUGAGGGCCCCUUGAAGUUACAGUGAGACCAGGCAGCAUGGUUGUGUAUUUCUCUCCAGCUGUUCACAGCUGAAUGGGAACAGGUGGAGUAGGCAAAGCAUUAGGCUUAGCCAGGGGCUGUGGUUUUGCCAGAUAAAUAAGAGGAAUGGAGAAAGAAGCAAAGGUAUGAUUAUAAUAGAGCCAUGGAAAGGAAGUUUGAUAAGGGGGAAAAUAACAGGGGUAAAAGGUGAGUGGGAAAAGGUGGUAGGAGUCCUAGAGUGUAGGACUCUCUUGGGUUCUAAAGAGUUGUGAUAAUAACCCAAUGCUUGGCAUCUGUAGUCCUUCAGGGUUGUAUAGCAAGUGGUUCGAGUUUGUUUGCAUAAUAAAACUAUGAGGUACUUAGGGCAGGUGGUGGUGGUGGUGAUUCCAAUAGCCGAGACAAGCUCCAAAGAGGUAAAUGGCUUACUGGAAAGUCACACCUGGAGUCAGUGGAGAAGCAUAGACUCAUCCACAGUUCUCUACCAUGGGUAGUCUUUUAUCCCUGUGUGUGGUGUCUGCUCAUGGAUCACUCAGUCUUGUUGAAGAGGUGGAAGGUAGAAGACAGCCUAAGACAAAAUGUAAUAAUGCAUUCAAUUCUAUGGGAUGGAGCAGUAUAAGGAGUUUAUCUGAUCAGUAAUACUAUUAUAAGUACUAGGGAUAUAGCAGUGAACAAGAUAGAAAAAAGGUCUCUCAGUGCUUUGGGAGGCGGAAGCAGGAGGAUCAUAUGAGGCCAGGAGUUGAAGAUGAGCCUAGGCAACAUAGUGAGACCCCAUCUCUGCAAAAAAAUAUAUUAAAGAAUUAGCUAGGUAUGGUGGUGUAUGCUCUAGUCCCAGCUACUUAGGAGGCUGAAGUGGGAUGAUUACCUAAGCUCAGGAAUUAGAGGCUGCAGUGAGCUGUGACUGUGCCACCAUUGCACUCCAGCCUGAGUGACAGAGUAAGACUGUGUCCCUUAAAAAAGAAGCAUCCUGAAGUCCUGUGCUUCAGAGAAGUUUUAGAAGGGUUUCUCUGUGACUCUUCUAAAGCAUCAUGAUAUGGUAAAAAGCACAUUUUACUAAAAGUUGGGAAACAUGUUUUUCUGCUACUUGUUUACUGCUACUGCUUCUGCUUCUGACAUUGUUGCUUCAACUCACCAUGCUUAGUGGAGGUCCCCAUCUAUAAACUAAGGUGUUGUGGCUUUGAGAGUUCUACUCUGUCUAAAAGUGCUAUGCAUUGAGGUCAGUGUUCUAGGCUAAUGAAAUUGUUGCUAUAAAGUGUCCUCACCCAACCUCCUGCUCUAAAGUGUGGAAAUGCACAUCUUAUUUUGUAGUGAUGAGACUCUGUUGACAUAGUGAGAUGCUGCAGUAAAAUGCAUUCAAAGUCACUCUCCACCUUUGAAACUGGGGAAAUCCGAAAGGGAGACAUAGGCUGAGUGCAGGUCCGAGUCCCAUCCUUAACUUAGUGAUGUCUCAGACCUGUUAAAAGCUUUGUAAUAACAAAUGCAUGCUUCCCCUCUUCUUACUCCUUCCUUAGGCCUGGAGGAAACGCUGGUUUAUCCUGCGGAGGGGCCAGACUAGCAGUGACCCAGAUGUUCUGGAAUACUACAAGAAUGAUGGCUCCAAGAAGCCCCUGCGCACCAUCAACCUGAACCUCUGUGAGCAGCUGGAUGUUGAUGUGACUCUGAACUUCAACAAGAAGGAGAUUCAGAAGGGCUAUAUGUUUGACAUCAAGACCAGUGAGCGUACCUUUUACCUGGUGGCUGAGACCAGGGAGGACAUGAAUGAGUGGGUCCAGAGCAUCUGUCAGAUCUGUGGCUUCAGGCAGGAGGAAAGCACAGGUAUGGGAGCACACACAGCCCUGUCUCAGGAGGGGCUGAGAUGAGGCCCUCCAAUCUCCAGCAAGGAGGGCAGCUCUAGCUGCCAACACUGCCAAGAAGUGUUGGGCUCGUGAUGAAGCUAAAGGCAUUUUUGGUGUUUCUUCAGACACCUCGAUACCACUACCAUCCUCAGUCCUCCACCUCUCCCCCUUCCCUGAGCUCUCUGCACUUUGCCCUGUCACCUCUCAGCCACCUGUAGGGAAGACCUCUCCUUCGCCUUCUACUGAUCCAUCUCUGGCUGUUCUGGCCCUACUUCAGACCACCUGGCACAGUUGCACUUGACCCUUGGUGGGUUUGUUUGGGGUUGCUUUUUGAUUCUUACUGAUUUAUAAUCACUUAGGAGGGGACAGGUGAGAGGAGCAAAUACAGACUUAUGCUUGGGUUUUAAUAACCUUCACAAAAGAGUAGUUCAGCUUUUUAAAAUGAGUUGUAAGUUGCAGAAAUGCUCCUUCACAUUUGUUCAGGCUCAUCCUCUACUCACCAGUAAGGUUGAGGAGCAGCAGGCUUUUUUUUUUUUUUUCCUGAGGCAGAUAUAUGGUCUAAAUUGGCCAUUCUUGAACCUGGUUGCACAUCAGAAUUAAGGAGGGACAUUUGUAAAAUGUUGAUGCCAAGGACCUGUGCCAAGUGAGUUACCCAGGAAUCUCUUGGGUGGUGGACCCAGGCAUUAGUGUCUUUUGGAAGCUCCACUCUUUCCCACUUUUUUUGGGAGGAUAAAAUUGAAAAAGUAAAGCUUCAUUUUGAGUAGCAAGGGUCCAGGGCUCAGCAGAUACUUCCUGUAAAUAUUUUAGAUUUUGAAGGCCACAGAUAGUCUCUAUUUUAUAUUCCUAUUUUUUUUAAUGUUACAAUCCUUUGAAAAUGUAAAAACCAUUCUCAGCUCAUCAGCAUCAGCAUCACCUGGGAACUUGUUAGACCUGCACAUUCUCGUGAGAAUGUCAGUAAGUAAUUCAUUCUUGUAAGUCAGUCUGCACCCCACUCCAGACUUACUGAAUCAGAAACUCUGGGACAAAACACAGCAGUCUGGUUUUAAGAACUCUCCAGGCAAUGUUUAUUGCCAGAACUGCUUUGAAAGGAUGUUUCUGGAGCUAUAGCCCAUUGGAGAGAGCUGACCAGUUUUAUAGCCAUGGCUUGGUGCUGAUAGACCCCCAGGUCUGCAUAUAAAUGGACUCUGGGUCAUGGAUAGGACUCUACUGCCCGAGUGCUAGACAGGGGCUGUGGAGGUGAGGGUGAGUCACUCUUUCAUCCUCACAGCCCACACAUACAACUGGGGGCAUGAAGGAUGCAUGGGGUGACAGGACAGGGUUAGUGGGUUGUGGAAAAGUGGCCUUUCCUACCAGACUGAGGAGCCUGGACUUUAUUGGGAGGGCAAUGAGGAGCAGUGACUGUCACCAGGGGAGUAGUUCCUUACUAUACUACAUCCUUUGUUUGAUCAACACAUACUUACUGUGUUACACACUGGGCUUGAUUCUGAGAACAAAACCAUUUCAAAAAGAGAUGAAAUCUCUGCCCUCACUGAGUUUUGAGCUGAAUGUAUGGGGUGAUGAGAAAGAGGUUGGUAUUUUACUAGAAUUCCAUUUGAAACACGAGGAAUUACUGGCAAGAAACUGGUUGAAGAAAUAAACAGAAAUAUGGUUUUAGAAAGAGAGAGAGUGCUUUGUGAGUCAUCUUAAGGAUGCAGCGCACUGUGGAAGAGCUUUCUGUGAGCAAUGCCAUAAGGACAGGACAUGGUUGGUGAGAAAGAGUGAAGAGUCACAGUGAUGCCUGGGCUCUGGCUUAGAGAGUGCAGUGGACAGUCAUGCUGAUGUGCCUCACCGAGAGGGAACACAGGCAUACGAGGGGCUCACUUGGAGCAUCGGGGACACCUGCUUGUGGGGUGUCUGCCUUGCGGCAGGGAGCCCCAGAAAGGCCUGAGCUGCAGGUUCAGAUUUUAGAGUUGCCAUCACUUAGGUGGUCCUGGGGGCUGUGGGAGGACAGGAUCACCCUGCGGUAUCCGGAGUCAGGGUGAGGCUGAGGAGGGUCUAGAGCAGAACCCUGAAGAAUAGCUCCAUUGAAGGCAGAGGAAACAGAUCCAACAAGAUGGCAGGAGCAGAGGCUCAGCAGAGCUUCCCAGGCUGCACCCUCCCUGGGCAGCAGCUGUGUUCAUCCUUGGUGCCGUGGCUGCUUGGCCCCCUAGCAUAGACCCUUGCUCCUCCACUGGUAGAGCAUUCAUCUUGCAGGUCUUUUGGAGCUACAAGGCCAUUGAUUCUGUUAGCAGACAUCCCACUCACCAGGAGACCUGCAUGGGAGCUCAUCUUGGAGUGCACAUAGCUGUAAGUGGAGCCAUCUUUCCCAGAGCCCUGCCAUAUGUUUCUGUUGCUCACUGGCAGAACGUGUCUUGCCUAGCAUCAGAAACAGCUGGAGAGGAGCAGACACUCAGGGGCAUUAGCCAGCUGGGGUUCCUGCCUCAGGCCAUGAGGUGGCACAGCCAGAAAUAGGCCAGAUAUCAGGGGGCAGAAAGAGAACUCUGCCCCCUCUGAUAUGACUUGAAGAACCCUUAGAAAGCCACCAUCAACACCACCCAAACAUAACCCCACUUAGCGAUCACAUCAUUUGAAAUUACACCUGUAGACCUUCAUUUCUUUUGAACAAGAAGUUUUGCUGUUGGGGUUUUUGAUUGCUGAAAGUAUGUUUUUAUUUAUUCUGCAAACACAAACUAAAAACUAUCUAUGUACCUGGCUUCUGUUGGGUAAAUGCUUGGGCUGUGGAGGUAACAACAUCAGUAGCGGUUCUCAAAAACCCGUGGACUGGGCAAGGAAGUGCCUAUGAUGGGAUCACGCAUGUAACGGGAACAUGGGCCAAGUGCUGUGACACCCAGAAGAAAGUCGGUCCCUGAAGUUUCAGAGAGAAUAUGAUAUUUGAGCAGGUCUUAAAGUCUGCAUGUGAAUUUGAGUAGAAGUGAAAUCCAGGCAGAAGGAACAGCAUAAGCCAAAGCAAAGAAGCCUGAAAGAGGCCGGUGUGUGCAGGAUGGCUGAUGCUGCCAUAUACCUUGGUCGUGGGUAUAGGAAAGCAGGAAACAGGUCAGACUGUGAAAGGCCUCGUAGGUUCUGCUGAGUAGUGUGGACAGGUCCUGGAGAGCAAGCCAGAUGAACAGUGUGCUGGGCUUGGGGUGCAGCAAAGUACUACCUGUCCAUGAUACCUCUCUUCCUUGCCAACACCACAGGAGAGUCUGAGAUGCCAUGGAAGGACAGGCAGGAAAGCUGGGUUUCCAAGAAUGCGGCUUCAGUUGGCAAGCCUCGCUUCACCCAGACAGCCUUAGCUUUGAGGGAGGCCAUGACAGAGGAGCCACCAUGGAGGAGGGAGGUGGCAGCACUCACCACUGCAGAGGCUGUCUUGCCUGGGGGCCCGGACCACACUCCUGGACUGUGGGGAACCACGCCGUCUGGGAGUGGAGCAGUCAGGGCCCAGGGCACUAUGAGGCCUCCAGGCUGCUCCAGGGUAGGAAAGAGGCAGAGCGUCUGCUCCUCAGCCAGGAUAGCCAGGAGGCCCCAGCCCUCCUCUGGGAGGACAGAGGAGGCAGGCAUGUGAGAGGAAGAGUGCUGGUGCUGGAUUACCGCCACUGUCUUCAUGUGUUUCUGCCUCUAGCAGCCCACUUUAGGACAAGGAUGCCCUUCCUUCCUGUUUCAUUCACAGGCUUCCUGGGAAACAUUUCCUCAGCCAGUCACGGCCUCUGCUCUUCUCCAGCUGAGCCCAGCUGCUCCCAUCAGCACCUCCCCCAAGAACAAGAACCCACAUCUGAGCCCCCGGUGUCUCACUGUGUGCCGCCCACCUGGCCCAUCCCUGCACCUCCGGGGUGUCUCCGCUCGCACCAGCACGCCAGCCAGAGAGCAGAACAUGCAAGGUAGGGGGCUACUAUGGCCAGUGGGGGCAGUGACCCCCACAAGGUCUUGUUCUAUUCAGUCCCUGAUUUUUUUAAAUUUCAAAGAGAAAGACAUAAAAUAUUAUAUCUUUCCAGGUAAGCAAACAUAUAUAACAACAUUUAAUUUUUUGUUUAUGUAGCCUUCACAUUUUAUUUGUUUUAUUUGUGUUGCUACAAAGUGAUAAUUGGAUUCCUAAGAAACCUACCAUUAUAAAAAAACCAUGCCAUGAAAAUUUUGUUUGAUUGUGGGGAAAAAAGCAUUAGAGGCUAGAGUUUCAGAACUGCAAAUAACAAAGUCGGUUUAUGUGUUGGCCUUAAGAGGACAGCUAUGAAACCUUAAGAUUGAUGACCAGAUCCAUAGCUCAGUUGAAUUCUAAGCUGUGCUGCUCCACAGUAGCUGCAGUCAUGGCUAUUUAAAUUUAAGCUAAUUAAAAUUAAAUUAAAUUUCGAGUUCAGUUUCUCAGUUAUAGUAGCCACAAGUCAAAUGCUCAGUAGCCACCAAAGUGACUAGCAAAGAUAGGUAGCAUGUCCAUCACCACAGAUGGUUUCACAAGGGACUUCUUGCUCUGGAACCAUGACCUCUGCUUCUCUGACACCACUGGCUCUCACACAGGGGCAGGGCCUGCACCAGUUUUAUCACCUGUUAUUCCCAGUGUAAGGUCACGCAAAUGUGCAGAGGGGAUGGGCUUGGCCAGAGCUGGUGCUCAGUUGCUACUGUGGCACACAGAUCACAGUCACAUUCCUUGGUUUGUUAGUUUAGAAAUACCUAAAUCAUGCUGUGAAAAUGAAGGCAGACAGAUAAAUGGCUGUGUUAAUAGAUGACUUCAUGACAUCUGUGAGAAUAUUUUCAUACAUAAUCUCACUUGAACCAGUCAAACAUAUGAGAGAUAGCUAGGAAGAUCAUUUAUCUCCAUUUUAUAGGUGAAGCACCUGAGGCUCACAGCUAUCAAAUGGUAGAGGCGGGACUAGAACCCAGGUGUCCUCACAUCUGUCCUGAACUCUUUGCCCCACACUUUGCUGCACCCCUGGUUUACUAAUCCUUUUUCUGUAACAUGGCAGGGGCUCCAGCACUCAAUCUGAAGGCUAGUUCCAUCACCCAUUUUCCUGAAGCAAUGCGAUUCCUUCGUUUGUGAACUUUCAGCAGUUCCGCCUUCAUCAACUGAUACAUGAAGAUCUGUGUUCUAGAAAGACAGAACAAAUUAACCAAGAUCACUAAACUAGUUAGUGGCAGAACCACACCAGUACCUGCCUCUCCUGAGUCCCAGACCAGGGAUAGGCAGUACAGUGCAAUGGAAAGCAUGGCACAGGCUUGGCAUCGGCCAGAUAUGGUUUCAAAUUGAGGUUCUGCCACUUUUCUGGGAAUCUUAGGCCACUUAUUUAACCUCUUUGACCUUCAACUUCCUUAUCUUCAGAAUGGAAACGACUAACUCAAAGGCUGAUGGGUGUAAGGUGGCAGAACACACAUGAAGUGCACAGUGGCAGAUGCUCAGUCCCUGUUACCUGUGGUUCUCCCUGUGCCCCUUUCCCUCUAUUGCAUGUAUGAAUGCCUGGACAGAGAGAACUGAGGUCUUCCAGUCGUUGUUCUUGUAAAAGACACAGUGCUUCGUGUUGGUGCCCUUCAUACUUUCACAUGCACGUGGAACACCUGGGGAGCUUGCUGAGAUGCUUGUUUUCAUCAGCGAACCUAGGGUGGGUCCUACAGUCCUGCCUUGCUGACACAGACUGAGGAUACCAGUGCAGCUCAUCUGCAGGACACACUUUAUGUAGAAGGCUUGGUAUACUAACAGCCACCACCACCUGUACUCCCAUGACACAGCUGAAGCAAAAGGAGACAGACAGGUAAAUGUCUGCCUGCAUGAGCAGUGAGGGUCCACUUUCUGUAUUCCUUCCUCCUCUGUGAAAUUCCUGUUAGUCUUACCAGCAGGAGUUGGUUUCUUUGAAUCACCACAGCAGUUUUUUAUGUUCUCUCUCCCAGCAUUUGGGGCUGUCUGCCUCAUGUUAAUGGAUUUCUGUGUUAAGAUGUUCUGGAUGUUAUGGAGGUCGUGUUAUGGAUUUCUGUGUUAAGAUGCUCUGAGGACACAAGGCAGGGCAUAUAGUAUGUCUUUAUCAGUACAUGAUCAGCGUUUGAUGGUCGUGUGCUGUAGUGAGAUGGCACAUUUGAGGAGAAAGAACUGUCUAAAGCUUAGGAACAGCACUGCCAUGGGCCCUUGGCCAAGCUGUGCUGUCCUCUUUGUUUUCGCUUGUGUGGAUGAGGGAGUGAGAGGACAAUUAGCAAUAUCUCAGUGUAGUUUCUACAGAAAAGUUAGACACUGUUUGCCAAAUUCCAAGGGGAGAUGGAGAAUAGGAAGGAAGCUUUCUUAAGUCCUGAAAGAUGAUAUUGUUUCUGAUGGUAGUGGCAUAGCUUGCAUCAUACUAAACCUACUGAACAGUUAGAAACUGAGACAUUAGAAAACAAUUGUUUGAAGGCACUGAAGAACAAUCAAAACUCUGGAACAGAUUUGACUCUUGAAAGAACUGAGAUUCAAUUUCCGUGGCUUUUCCUAGAACAGAUCCCAGAUAUUCAGUAUCCAAUGAAAAAUUACUAGCCGUAUGAGUAAAUGGUAAAAGUUGACCCACAGUUUAGAGAACUCAGUACAUAGAAACAGACCAGAAUAGACCCAGAUUUUGGAGCUAGCCUACAAAGACUUUAAAAUAAGUAUGUUAACUUUUUAAAUCUGUGGGCAAAAAAUGUAUGUAAUGGGUGAAGAGAUGAUGGAUUUCGGGAGAGAUACAGGGACCCUGGUAAAGGACUUAGGAGUUCCAGCUCCACUGUGGUGGCAGACCCACUGCAGGAUAUCAUUCCCAGAUCACAGCUUAAAACUCUGGACACAUACAAAGUACAAUUACCCAAAGACCCUGGGAGGUAAAUGAAAGGAGGCAGGGUGUGGACUGGAGAAAAACUUGGAGCAGCAAAUACACAGAGGUCAAUUUUCUGUCUUCCAUGGAUUUGCCUCCAGGGUGCACCCACACAAAGCAGCACAGUGGGGCCAGUGGUUAAAACUUUCCUGGAAACUCCAUCUUUCUAGGUAGAGGAACCAGGAAAGAGCCCAAUGGAGCUGGAAAGGAUUCUAGAGCAGAGUGAGCUGGAGAAGGGAUCUGCUAAUUCUGAGCACGAAACCACCCAAGUCUUAUGCUCACCUUGAGCUACAUGUGUGUAGAAAGUCCCAAACCAGUGUAACAGAGCUAUAUGAACUGAGCACAGCUUGGAACUGCCACACAUAGGAGAGAUGGAACUUGCAGUCUCAACCUAACCAGCUUGAUUUCCUGCAGAAACCAAAACAUCAACAUUCUCCCAAGGAUUAUGGCAACCCACAGUCUACACAAAACACAACAUGCACAACAUUCAGGAUGUAAUUCACAUUUUCUCAGCUUACGGAGAACCAGCAGAAUUUAACCAGUUUUAAUUGGAAGACACAGAUGUGAACCUCAAGAUAAUACAGAUGUUGGCUAUAUACCCAGCAGUGAGAUUGCUGGAUCAUAUGGUAGUUCUAGUUUUAGUUUUUUGAGGAACCUCCAUAUUGUUUUCCAUAGUGGCUGUGCUAAUUUACAUUCCUACAAAGAGUAUAUAGAGCAUUCCCAUUUCUCCAUGCCCUUAUCAGCAUUUGUUAUUAUCUUUUUGAUAAUAGCCAUUUUAACUGGGGGAGAUGAUAUCUCAUGUGGUUUUGAUUUGCAUUUUCGUAAUGACUAGUGAUGUUGAUAAUUUUUUCAUUUACCUGUUGGCCAUUUGGAUGUCUUCUUUGGAGAAAUGUCUAUCCAGAUCUUUUGUCCAUUUUGUAAUCUGAUUAUUUGAUUUUUUUGUCCAUUGAGUUGUUAGAGUUCCUUAUAUAUUCUAUUAAUUUCUUAUUGGAUGAAUAGUUUGAAAAUACUUUCUCCUAUUGCGUAGAUUGUUUCUUUACCUUAUUAAUUUUUUCCUUUGCUAUACAGCAAAGCUUUUUAGCUUGAUAUAAUCCCAUUUGUCAGUUUUUGCUUUGAUUACCUGUGCAUUUGAGGUGCUAUUCAAGAACGUAUGGCUAGACCAAUGUUUUGAAGUGUUUUCUCAAUGUUUUCUUCUACAUGUUUCAUGGUUUCAGGUCUUAUAUUUACAUGUUCAAUCAAUUUUGAGUUGAUUUUUGUAUAGGGUGAGAGAUAGGGCUCUAGUUUCAUUCAUACAUUCAUAUGGAUAUUUAUUUUUCCCAGCACCAUUUAUUGAAGAGACUGUUCUUUCCCCAGUGUAUACUCUUGGCAUCUUUGUUGAAAAUGAGUUGACUGUAAAUGCAUGAAUUUAUUUCUGAGAUCUGUAUUCUGUUCCAUUGGCCUGUGUGUCCAUUUUUAAGUCAGUGCCAUGCUGUUUUGGUUAUAGCUUUGUAGUAUAUUUUGAAGUCAGGUAAUAUGAGUCCUCCAGUUUUGUUCUUUUUUGCUCAGGGUUGCUUUGGCUGUUCUGAUCCUAGUGUGGUUUCAUAUAAAUUUUAGAGUUUUUAUUUCUAUUUCUGUAGAAAAUACAGAAUGGUAUUUUGAUAGGCAUUGACUCUGCAGAUUUCUUUAGGUAGUGUUGGGGUGAUCAGAUGCAACACCAGACCAUGAGGGCUAUGAAGUCUGGUGGAGUGAAAGGAAUGAGAAAAGACAAGUUAAGAGUGAAAGUGGGACCAGGGGGCCAAUGCUAGUACGGAGGCUGUGAAGGCUCUGAGCUCUGGGAGCCCAUGCUAUUUAUUGGUGAUCAAAGAAACAGGUGGUGAGGAUGUGGGGUUGAAAGGUAGUGAUGCAUCAAGCGCAUGAUCUACACCUGUGACGGUUUAGCAUUUUCUUUGAAGCAUAUGGAACAUGUUCUGCUACUUGAGAUAAUGGAAACAUGUUCUUCUAGUUUAAGAUACAAUCAACCUGUGAUCCUGGGAAUGCUAGAAGCAAGGAGCCAGCAAGUCUAGACACAUUCCAGAGGCCACUAGGGGUUUUAUGCCCUGAGCCCUGGAUUCCAUCCACGCCACGAGGGGUUUUAUGCCCUGGGCUUAGAUUAUGGUGCGGCAGGGCAGCCUUCCACCCUUUGGCACAGAAUUUGGUGUUCCAAAGGCCAAGAGGGGUUUUAGACCCUGGACCCUGGACAUGUUCCGAGACUCUUUUACAUUAUGUCAGACAUGCAAGCCCUGCCUCAGCUUUUUUCCCAACACUCAGCUUUUCCCCAACAGAAGUCAGGUAAUAUGAUUCCUCCAGUUUUGUUCUUUUUGCUCAGGGUUGCUUUGGCUGUUCUGAUUCUUGUGUGGUUUCAUAUAAAUUUUAGAAUUUUUGUUUCUAUUUCUGUAGAGAAUACUGAAUGUAUUUUGAUAGGCAUUGAUUCUGCAGAUUAGGUGGUGUGGACAUUUUAACAAUAUUAAUUUUUGCAAUCAUGAUCAUGUGAUAUUGUUCCAUUUUCAUGUCCUUUUUAAUUUCUUUAAUAAAUAUUUUAUAGUUUCAUUGUUGAGAUCUUUUACUUCUUCAAGAUUAUUUUGUAAGUAUUUUUUGUAGCUACUGUAAAUGGGAUUGCUUUCUUAAUUUCUUUUUUAGACUGUUUGUUGUUGACAUAUAGAAAUACUACUGAUUUUUACAUAUUGAUUUUGUAUCCUGCAUCUUUUCUGAAUUUAUUUAUCUGUUCCAACAGCCUUUUGGCAUUUUUAAGUUUUCCUAAAUAUAAGAUUAUAUUGUCUGCAAACAAGGACAAUUUUACUUCUUCCUUUUCAAUUUGGAUGCCCUUUCUUUCUCCCUUCUCAUUGCUCUGGCUAGGACUUCUAGUGGGCAUUCUUGUCUUGUUCCAGAUUUUAGAGGAAAGGCUUUUCAUUUUUCCCUGUUCAGUAUGAUGCUAGCUGUGGGUUUUGCAUGUAAAGCCUUUAUUGUUUUGAGGCAUGUUCCUUCGAUACCCAGUUUGUUGAGAGUUUUUAUUGUCAAGGGAUGUAGCAUUUUAUCAAAUAACUUUUUGUCAUAUUUUGAAAUGAUCAUAUGGUUUUUGUUUUUGAAUCUAUUAAUGUGGUGUAUCAUGUUCAUUUCUUUGCAUAUGUUGAACCCUCCUUGCAUCCCUGAAAUGAAUCUCACUUGAUCAAGAUUAAUUAUCUUUAUAAUAUAUUGUUAUAAACAUCAGGGAUGUUUUCUUUUUUUGUUGUAUCUUUGUCUGUUUUUGGUAUCAGGAUAGUGCUUCAUAGGAUGAGUUUAGAAGUAUUCCAUCCUCCUCAACAUUUUGGAAUAGUUUGAGAAGAAUUGAUGUUAGUUCUUCAUAUGUUUGGUAGAAAUCAGCGGGGAAGCCAUCGGGUCUUGGGUUUUUCUUUGAUGGGAGUUUAUUACUGUGUCUAUCUUGUGACUUCUUGGUCUGUUCAGGUUUUCUAUUUCUUCAUGAUUCAACCUUGCUAGGUUGUAUUUGUGUAGGAAUUAAUCUGUAUCUUCCAGGUUUUCCAAUUUUUGGCAUAUUGUUGCUCAUAAUAGUCUCUGAUGGUCCUUUGAAUUUUUGUCUUAUCAGAUGUAAUGUCUCCUUUUUUGGCUCUGAUUUUAUUUAAGGCUUGACUCAUUUUUUGUUAAUCUAGCUAAAGGAUUAUCAAUUUUGUUUAUCUUUUCAAAAAAGCAAAGUUUUUGUUUCAUUGAUAUUUUAUUUUUUUCACUCUAAAUUUUAUUUAUUGCUGCUAUGAACUGUAAUAUUUAUUUCCUUCUAAUUUGGGGUUUGGUUUUUUCUUACUUUUGAACUUUUUUAAGGGGCAUCAUUUAGUUUUUUUCUACUCCUUACUAUAUUUUAUAUUUAUAUUUAUUUAUUUAUUUUUAUUAUACUUUAAAUUCUGGGAUACAUGUGCAGAACGUGCAGGUUUGUUACAUAGGUAUACACGCACCAUAGUGGUUUGCUGCACCCAUCAACCCAUCAUCUACAUUAAGUAUUUCUCCUAAUGCUAUCCCUCCCCUAUCUCCCCACCCCUUGACAGGCCCCGAUGUGUGAUGUUUCCCUCCCUGUGUCCAUGUGGUCUCAUUGUUCACCUCCUACUUAUGAGUGAGAACAUGUGGUGUUUGGUUUUCGGUUCUAGGGUAAGUUUGCUGACAAUGAUGGUUUCCAGCUUCAUUCAUGUCCCUGCAAAGGACGUGAACUCAUUCUUUUUUAUGGCUGCAUAGUAUUCCACGGUGCAUAUGUGCCACAUUUUCUUUAUCCAGUCUAUCAUUGAGGGGCAUCCAGGUUGGUUCCAAGUCUUUGCUAUUGUGAAUAGUGCUGCAAUAAACAUACGGGUGUACUUGUCUUUAUAGUAGAAUGAUUUAUAAUCCUUUGGGUAUAUACCCAGUAAUGGGAUUGCUGGGUCAAAUGGUAUUUCUGGUUCUAGAUCCUCGAGGAAUCGCCACACUGUCUUUCACAAUGGUUGAACUAAUUUACACUCCCACCAACAGUGUAAAAGUGUUCCUAUUUCUCCACAUCCUCUCUAGCAUCUGUUGUUUCCUGACUUUUUAAUGAUCACUAUUCUAACUGGCAUGAGAUGGUAUCUCAUUGUGGUUUUGAUUUGCAUUUCUGUAAUGACCAGUGAUGAUGAGCUUUUUUUCAUGUUUGUGGGCUGCAUAAAUGUCUUCUUUUGAGAAGUGUCUAUUAUCCUUUGGCCCCUUUUUGAUGGGAUUGUUUGGAUUUUUCUUGUAAAUUUGUUUUAAGUUCCUUGUAGAUUCUGGAUAUUAGCCCUUUGUCAGAUGGAUAGAUUGCAGAAAUAUUCUCCCAUUCUGUUGUUUGCCUGUUCACUCUGAUGAUAGUUUCUUUUGCUGUGCAGAAGCUGUUUAGCUUAAUUAGAUCCUAUUUGUCUAUUUUGGCUUUUGUUGCCAUUGCUUUUGGUGUUUUAUUCAUGAAGUCUUUGCCCAUGCCUGUGUGCUUAAUGGUAUUGCCUAGGUUUUUUUCCACGGUUUUUGUGGUUUUAGGUCUUACGUUUAAGUCUGUAAUCCAUCUUGAGUUAAUUUUUGUAUAAGGUGUAAGGAAGCGGUCCAGUUUCAGUUCCCUGCAUAUGGCUACCCAGUUUUCCCAACACCAUUUAUUAAAUAGGGAAUCCUUUCCCCAUUGCUUGUUUUUGUCAGCCUUGUCAAAAGUCAGAUGGUUGUAGAUGUGUGGUGAUUUCUGAGGUCUCUGUUCUGUUCCAUUGGUCAGUAUAUCUGUUUUGGUACCAGUCCCAUGUUUUGGUGCCUGUAGCCUCAUAGUAUAGUUUUAAGUCAGGUAGCAUGAUGCCUCCAUGUUUGUUCUUUUUGCUUAGGACUGUCUUGGCGAUAUGGGCUCUUCUUUGGUUCCUUAUGAAAUUUAAAGUAGAUUUUUCUAAUUCUGUGAAGUCAAUGGUAGCUUGAUGGGAAUAGCAUUGAAUUUGUAAAUUUCUUUGGGCAGUAUGGCCAUUUUCACGAUAUUGAUUCUUCCUAUCCAUGAGCAUGGAAUGUUUUUCCAUUUGUUUGUGUCCUCUCUUAUUUCCUUGAGCAGUGGUGUGUAGUUCUCCUUGAAGAGGUCCUUCUCAUCCCUUGUAAGUUCUAUUCCUAGGCAUUUUAUUCUCUUUGAAGCAAUUGUGAUUGGGAGUUCACUCAGGAUUUGGCUAUUACUGGUUUAUAGGAAUACUUGUGAUUUUUGCACGUGGAUUUUUUAUUCUGAGACUUCACUGAAGUUGUUUAUCAGCUUAAGGAGAUUUGGGGCUGAGACAGUGGGGUUUUCUAAGUAUACAAUCAUGUCAUCUGCAAACAGAGACAACUUGACUUCCUCUUUUCCAAAUUGAAUACCCUUUAUUUCUUUCUCUUGACUGAUUGCCCUGGCCAGAACUUCCAAUACUAUGUUGAAUAGGAGUGGUGAGAGGGCAUCCUUGUCUUGUGCCAGUUUUCAAAGGGAAUGCUUCCAGCUUUUGCCCAUUCAGUAUGAUAUUGGCUGUCAGUUUGUCAUAAAUAGCUCUUAUUAUUUUGAGAUACAUCCCAUCAAUACCUAGUUUAUUGAGAUUUUUUAGCACGAAGGGGUGUUGAAUUUUAUUGAAGGCCUUUUCUGCAUCUAUUGAGAUAAUCAUGUGGUUUUUGUCAUUGGUUCUGUUUAUAUGAUGGAUUACAUUUAUUGAUUUUCGUAUGUUGAACCAGCCUUGCAUCCCAGGAAAGAAGCCAGUUUGAUCAUGGUGGAUAAGCUUUUUAAUGUGCUGCUAGAUUCAAUUUGCCAGUAUUUUAUUGAGGAUUUUCGCAUUGAUGUUCAUCAGGGAUAUUGGCCUGAAAUUUUCUUUCUUUGUGUGUCUUUGCCAGGUUUUGGUGUCAGGAUGAUGCUGGCCUCACAAAAUGAGUUAGGGAGGAGUCCAUCUUUUUCUAUUUUUUGGAAUAGUUUCAGAAGGAAUGAUAUCAGCUCCUCUUUGUGCCUCUGCUAGAAUUCGGCUGUGAAUCCAUCUGGUCCUGGGCUCUUUUUGGUUGGUAGGCGAUUAAUUACUGCCUCAAUUUCAGAACUUGUUAUUGUCCUAUUCAGGGAUUCGACUUCCUUCUGGUUUAGUCUUGGGAGGGUGUAUGUGUCCAGGUAUUUGCCCAUUUCUUCUAGAUUUUCUAGUUUAUUUGCAUAGAGGUGUUUAUAGUAUCCUCUGAUGCUAGUUGGUAUUUCUGUGGGGUCGGUGGUGAUAUCCACUUUAUCGUUUUUUAUUGUGUCUAUUUGAUUCUUCUCUCUUUUCUUCUUUAUUAGUCUGGCUAGUGGUCUAUCUAAUUUGUUAAUCUUUUCCAAAAGACAGCUCGUGGAUUCAUCGAUUUUUUGAAGGUUUUUUUGUGUCUCUAUAUCCUUCAGCUCUGCUCUGAUCUUGGUUAUUUUUUGUCUUCUGCUAGCUUUUGAAUUUGUUUGCUCUUGCUUCGCUAGUUCUUUUAAUUGUGAUAUUAGGGUGUUGAUUUUAGAUCUUCCCUGCUUUCUCUUAUGGGCCUUUAGUGCUGUAAAUUUCCCUCUGAACAUUGCUUUAGCUGUGUCCCAGAGAUUGUGGUACAUUGUGUCUUUGUUCUCAUUGGUUUCAAAUAACUUAUUUAUUUCUGCCUUAUUUUCGUUAUUUACCCAGUAAAUAAAUUCAGGAACAGGUUGUUCAGUUUCCAUGUAGUUGUGCAUUUUUGAGUGAGUUUCUUAAUCCUGAGUUCGAAUUUGAUUGCACUGUGGUCUGAGAGACUGUUUGUUAUGAUUUCCCUUCAUUUGCAUUUGCUGAGGAGUGUUUUACUUCCAAUUAUGUGGUCAAUUUUAGAAUAAGUGAGUGCUAUGUGGUGCUCAGAAGAAUGUAUAUUCUGUUGAUUUGGGAUGGAGAGUUCUGUAGAUGUCUGUUAGGUCUGCUUGUUCCAGAACUGAGUUCCAGUCCUGAAUAUCCUUGUUAAUUUUCUGUCUCAUUGAUCAGUCUAAUAUUGACAGUGGGGUAUUAAAGUCUCCCAUUAUUAUUGUGUGGGAGUCUAAGUCUCUUUGUAGUCCAGAAGAACUUGCUUUAUGAAUCUGGGUGUGCCUGUAUUAGGCACAUAUAUAUUUAGGAUAGUUAACUCUUCUUGUUGAAUUAAUCCCUUUACCAUUAUGUAAAGCCCUCUUUGUCUCUUUUGAUCUUUCUUGGUUUAAAGUGUGUUUUAUCAGAGACUAGGAUUGCAACCCCUGCUUUUUUUUUUUUUGCUUUCCAUUUGCUUGGUAAAUCUUCCUUCAUCCUAUUAUUUUGAGCCUAUCUGUGUCUUUGCACGUGAGAUGGGUCUCCUGAAUACAGCACACCGAUGGGUCUUGACUCUUUAUCCAAUUUGCCAGUAUGUGUCUUUUAAUUGCGGCAUUUAGCCCAUUUACAUUUAAGGUUAAUAUUGUUAUGUGUGAAUUUGAUCCUGUCAUUAUGAUGCUAGCUGGUUAUUUUGACUGCUAGUUGAUGCAGUUUCUUCCUAGCAUUGAUGGUCUCUACAUUUUGGUAUGGUUUUGCAGUGGCUGGUACUGGUUUUUCCUUCCCAUGUUUAGUGCUUCCUUCAGGAGAUCUUGUAAGGCAGGCAUGGUGGUGACAAAAAUCUCUCAGCAUUUGCUUGUCUGUAAAGAAAUUUAUUUCUCCUUCACUUACGAAGCUUUGUUUGGCUGGAUAUGAAAUUCUGGGUUGAAAAUUCUUUUCUUUAAGAAUGUUGAAUAUUGGCCCCUUCUCUCUUCUGAGUUGUAGGGUUUCUGCAGAGAGAUCUGCUCUUAGUCUGAUGGGCUGCCCUUUGUGGAUAACCCAACCUUUCUCUCUGGCUGCUCUUAGCAUUUUUUCCUUCAUUUCACCCUUGCUGAAUCUGACAAUUAUGUGUCUUGGGGUUUGCUCUUCUCAAGGAGUAUCUUGGUGGUGUUCUCUGUAUUUCCUGAAUUUGAAUGUUGGCUUCUCUUGCUAGGUUGGGGAGGUUCUCCUGCAUGAUAUCCUGAAGAGUGUUUUCCAACUUGGUUCCAUUUUCCCUGUCAUUUUCACAUACACCAAUCAAACGUAGCUUGGUCUUUUCACAUAGUCCCAUAUUUCCUUGAGGCUUUGCUCAUUUCUUUUAAUUCUUUUUUCUCUAAUCUCGUCUUCAUGCUUUAUUUCAUUAAGUUGAUCUUCAAUCUCUGAUAUCCUUUCUUCUGCCUGAUGGACUUGUCUGUUGAUACUUGUGUAUUCUUCAUGAAGUUCUCAUGCUGUGUUUUUCAGCUCCAUUAGGUCAUUUAUGUUCUUCUCUGAACUGGUUAUUCUAGUUAGCAGUUCCUGUAACCUUUUAUCAAGGUCUUUAGCUUCCUUGCAUUAGGUUAGAACAUGCUCCUUUAGCUCAGAGGAGUUAUUACCCAUCUGCUGAAGCCUACUUCUGUCAGUUGGUCAAACUCAUUCUCUGUGCAGUUUUGUUCCCUUUCUGGUGAGGAGUUGUGAUCCUCUGGAGGAGAAGAGGUGUUCUGGCUUUUCAGCCUUUUUGCACUGUUUUUUCCUCAUCUUCGUCAAUUUGUCUACCUUUGAUCUUUGAUGUUGGUGAUCUUCGGAUAGGGUUUUUGUGUGGAUGUUUUUUUUUGUUGUUGUUGAUGCUAUUCCUUUCUGUUUGUUAGUUUUCCUCCUAACAGUCAGACCCCUCUGCUGCAGCUCUACUGGAGUUUGCUGGAGGUCCACUCCAGACUCUGUAUCACCGGCAGAUAUCACCAGUGGAGUAUCACCAGUGGAGACUACAGAACAGCAAAGAUGGAUGCCUGUUCCUUGCUCUGGAAGCUUCAUCCCAGAGCAGCACCUGCCAGAUGCCAGCUGGAGCUCUCCUGUAUGAGGUGUCUGUCGAUGCCUGCUGGGAGGUUUCUCCAGUCAGGAGGGACAGGGGUCAGGGACCUGCUUGAGGAGGCAGUCUGUCCCUUAGCAGGGCUCGGGCGUUGUGCUGGGAGAUAUGCUGCUUUCUUCAGAGCCACAGGCAGAACGUUUUGUAAGUCUGCUGAAACUGCGCCCACAGCUGCCCCUUCCCCCAGGUGCUCUGUCCCAGGCAGAUGGGGUUUUAUCUAUAAACCCCUGACUCGGACUGUAGCCUUUUUUUCAGAGAUGUCCUGCCCAGAGAGGAAGAAUCUAGAGAGGCAGUCUGGCCUCAGUGGCUUUGCUGAGCUGUGGUGGGCUUUGCCCAGUUAGAACUUCCUGGAGGGUUUGUUUACACUAUGAGGGGAAAACCGCCUAUUCAUGCCUCAGUAAUGGCGGAUGCCCUACCCCCACCAAGCUUCAGUGUCCCUGGUUGACUUCAGACUGUUGUGCUGGCAGCGAGAAUUUCAAGCCAGUGGAUCUUAGCUUGCUGGUCUCCAUGGGGGUGGGAUCCCCUGAGCUAAAAACCACUUGGCUCCCUAGCUUCAGCCCCAUUUUCAGGGGAAUGAACAGUUCUGUCACUCUGGCAUUCCAGGCGCCACUAGGGUAUGGAAAAAAACUCCUACAGCUAGCUCGGAGUCUGCCCAAAAAGCUGCCCAGUUUUGUGCUUGAAACCCAGGGCCCUGGUGGUGUAGGCACCCGAGGGAAUCUCCUGGUCGUGAGUUGUGAAGACCAUAGGAAAAGUGUAUCUGGGCCAGAAUGCACCAUUCCUCACAGCACAGUCCCUCUCGGCUUCCCUUGGCUAAGGGAGGGAGUUCCCCAACACUUUGUGCUUCCCUGGUGAGGUGACGCCCCACCCUGCUUCGGCUCACCCUCUGUGGGCUGCACCCGCUGUCUAACCAGUCCCAGUGAGAUGAGCCAGGUAUCUCAGUUGGAAAUGCGGAAAUCACCCACCUUCUGCGUUGAUCUCGCUGGGAGCUGCAGACCAGAGCGGUUCCUAUUUGGCCAUCUUGCCAGCCACCCAUCAUUUAGGUUUUUAAAGUGUUUAUUUAUUUAAAUGCAGUGACCAAGUGCAAAAGGAAGUGGCUACAAAACCUAGGAAACCAUUUUUAAAAGUCAGGGGAGAGCUCUGGGUUGAUAUUGACACCAAAGAAUAUGCAGGAGGUGGUGUGACAGCCCCACAUGCCACCAGCCUCUGUGCAGCCAGAAGCCUAGGACAGGAGGGCAGGUGCACUGCGCUGCUGGCUGGAGUGAGUGUUUACUCCCAAACUGCUUGUUGACUCCAGGAAGCACCCUGCACACUAGUGCUUUAGUGUCUCCCUGUACCAACUUGGCCAUUUCUGCCUUCCUCAUCUGCUAUGCAGGGGUAACAUGUGUUUCUCAGACCUAUUAGGAAGAUUUAAAGUGGCAUCACAUGUCAUGCACCUGACACAGGGUCUUACCUGUUUUAUGCAGCUUCUGUCAGCCUGCAGUCCUGGAAGACAAGCGUCUCUCCAAAUCCACUGCUCCCAAUUAUCCGUCCAACAAAAGCAAUGCAGGACAUCAUAGUAACAUUGGCCUCACAUGGGUGUGCAUGGCAGUAAUGGAGUCCUCAGAGUUCUCCUCCUGAUUCUUGCCCAAGGGGAGCACACUGCAGCAGGGAUUGAGCAGGGUGUCCAGAGCCCUGGGUGUUGUUGGCACAGUGCUCCUGUUCUUUUAGUAGGUAAUUUCAGGCAUGUUGGCUUCCCUUGAUUACCUUUUACCUGAUAUAGUCCUGCUCAAAAUGCAUCAGUGUCAUCUACCAUAAGCCAGGCAUAAUUCCAUGGGACAGGAUGUGGCCCUCUGCUGUCUUGGAGGACAUGGUUGGCUAGGAGUAGAGAGACACAGACCCAGAAACCAACACAAGACAGAGCAAGGUCCAUGUUCUGAUGGGAGCCCAGGUGCUGUGGGAACAGGGAGGAAGAGCACAGGGUCUGCUGGGAGUGGGGAGACUCACACUGAUAACACACACCAGACAGAGUGAGUGCAUGUGCUGAUGGGAGCCCAGGUGCUAUGGGGGCACAGAGAAGGGUAUGCUUAAGAUGAGAGGGAGAGUUAGGGACCAGUAAUUCUUUUGUAGAUAGAAAGUCUUUUGGACUUGGUGUAACAUUUUGAUGCAUCAGAGAGAAGCAUUCCAGGGCAAGGUGAGGCAUAUACACCCAGGGAUGGGGUUUAGACCAUGUGGGACGUACUCAGGGGUGAGUAUCUGAGCUGGAGUAAGGGACCUGGGGCAGGCAGAUGUUGGGACAUAAGAAAGUGGGGUUUAAGGAGGAAGAGUUUGGAUCUGCUGGUCCAAAGUGUUUGGGCCAAGCUCAGGAAAAAGGAUGGCAGCACCCCACUUUUCUUUAUUUACUUUUUCAUUCAUCUGCUUGUUCCUUCAGCAAACAUUUAUUCAUUAUUUGCUAUGUGACAAGCACUAACCUGGGUGCUGAGGAAAGAAAGAUGAAUAAGACAGGGUUUCCUUCCUCAGGGAAAUCAUAGUCUGGUGGAGAAGAUAAAUAACAAUGGAGUGUGACUCAGAUAGCAAUUUGCUGCUGCUCCAAGAACAGUUAUGCAGGUGAUUGGUUAUGCUUGGAGAUAGAGGAUCUAAGACAGGCUUUUAAAAAUGUGCCUUUUGAGCUGAAUUUGAAGGAUAAGUGGAGUAGGAGCUUGCCAGAGGGACCUCAGAAGCCAUCCAGGGACAGCUGACAACAGGACAAAGCCCAGAAGUGUCACUGAGAGGAGCACGCUGGGGACACAGUGACGUCUGGUUUGAGUGGAUCCUAGGUGGGAAGGGUAACUAGGAAGAAAAGACUGGAGAGAUGGGAUGGAAUAAAGCUGGGGGUUUUUCAUCCUAAAAGCACUGUGACAGUGGUGGAGAUGUUUAAGCUGGGAGGUUAGGAAGGUAAUAGCAGGAUGGAGAGAGCUGGAGAGGCCCUGGGAAGAUGUGAGGAAGACGUGUUAUGAGACCUUUUGUGGUCCAGAGGAAGGAUCAGGAGGAAAUGAGUAGGGUGGGCUCACUAAGGCUGGCUGGUGAUUGAGUGAGAGUGUGGGUAACUCCAAUGUUUUGGGCUUGAGAGGCUGGAGCCAAUCCCAAGACAGAACAGUCAGGAGAAGUAGAUUUCAGGAGGAAGAUGAUGGGCAUAUUCUGAAUAUGCGUGAGAUUACCGCAGGACACCUGAGGUGCUUUCCCCCACCCCAUCCCCACCUUGACAUCCUUCCGAAGCUCUUGAUCCCUUCAGUGCUGGCCUGGCCCCUCCACUGUCAUCUCUCAACCUGAGCAGCUUGCAGCCCCUUGAACUGCCAGGCUGUGUUCUGCAUCUUGCUGUUUCCAAGUGGAACAGCUUUUCCCUUGUCUCAACUUUUGUCUGGCCUGCUGCUGCAGAUCCUUCCGGGCUCACUCAGAUGGAAGGCUUUGCAUAAGGCUUUCCUGGCACUCUUGACCACCACCAGGGAGGGCUCAUCCAGAUCUGUCUGCAGCCGUGUGCUCAUCCCACCUGAUUGUGGUGGUGUGUGUUCGUGACACCUCCUCCACUGCUGUGACGCCUGUCCUGCAGGGCAGGUGGCGUCUGUGUCCACUGUGCCUGGCCCAGAUGGAAAGUGGGGCGUGAGCAAACAUCACAGGAGCAAAUCCAGGUGGCAUAUCCACCAGAGAGCUGAAAACUCCAAAAGACCAAGUGAAAGGCACCAAAGACAAAUACAAACACGAGGAUCCUGCAUCUUCCCCUGCUCUCCUGUCUGCUGGUGAAGCACAGCAUGCUCUAGAGACGUGUUCAGUUAUGGAGGCCCAUGCUGUUGGCUUGGUCUUGUGUGUGGAGAGGAAUAGAAAGGGAGAAGGAAUGCAGAGGCCCAGGAAGGAAGGCUGUGAAGCUCGGUGGCCCAUGUUGGCAGAGGAGGUAGCCUGGCCUGCACACCUGCUUCCCUUCAUUUUUCUAAGCUUCUGGGCCAGCUGUGGCCAUGUCCCCAAGGAACAGCUCCCCACAGGCUGAGAGCAUACCAGUGAGGCAGUUCCAUGGAUUGGUCUCAGAGGGCUGUGACCCCUAGAAACCGCAUGCAAAUGUGCAUGUGUGUGAGACAUGCCUCAUUCUGGGGAGACACCCCAAGAGCUUUUGCUCAGCUUUUCAAAGAUGCCUGUGGCCAUCAAGAGGCUGAGAACUCCUGCUAUAAGGAUCCAGUCUUACUUUUUUCCCCACAUUAAAUCCUAGGAGGAAUAAUAAUAUAAAAGAUAGGGAAGAAGACCUAGAUCCAUACUUGCUCAGAACUACAUCCUGCAAUUUCCUAGAGCGCCCACACAGAACGUAGAACCCAGUUCCAAAACCACUCUCAUAAAGCCGAAGGCUGUAGAGUUGCAGAGCAAGAUGGACCCUUGGAAAUCACUGUGACGCUGGGUCGUGUCUGGGGUGAUCAGGAAGGCACACAGAGCUUAUCGGUGGCAGCGCUGGAAACUGCCACAGCUCCCUCCUCAUUCAUUGAUUCUCUUUUUACUACUUGCCUUAUCUCCCAAAACUUACGUUUUAAUAAUUCAAAACUUUUUCUUUUUCCGAGGUAGGGUCUGGCUCUGUUGCCCAAGUUGGAGUACAGUAGCAUGAUCUCAGCUCACUGCAGCCUCGGCCUCCUGGGCUCAAGCCAUACUCCCACCUCAGCCUCCCAACCAAGUAACUGGGACUACAUCACCAUGCCCGGCUAAUUUUUUUUUUUUUUUGGAAGAGACAGGUUUUUGCCAUGUUGUCCAGGCUGGUCUCGAACUCUUGAGCUCAAGCCAUCUGCCUGUCUGGGCUUCCUAAAGUGCUGAGAAUACAGGUGUGGGCCACCGUGCCUGGCUUCAAACCUUUUUCUAUCCAAAUAGAGUUGCCAAACAGGAAACCAUUUUUUCUAUAGAUGUUUAGGUUUCUGGGGAGAGAAACUUUUCCUUCGAAUUGCCUCUCUAACCACCGUAAAACCUGGUAGAAGAUGGAUCUGUUGCUUAUGUCUGAAUAGUUCUUUAUAACUUACCCAUUGACACCCAUGAGCUGGUUUACUUUAGAGGGGAACACUGACACUCAGAGAUGAGAUGACUCGCUUGCUGCUUCCUGCCACCCACUUCAAAGCUCUCCCCACCGUCUCUCAGCCUGGGCAUUCAGUUGUGCACAUUCUGCAAUGCUCACAGCAGGGAACCAGUAGCCAGUGUACCUGGCUUGCUGCUCUGUUUUGUGGGGGUGAAACUGACCACCCUGCUAAUCACAGCCAUUGGGGGAGAGGAAUAAGGUCUUGCCUUGAUUGAAUUAGACUCUAGAUAUACUAGAGUCUGAUUUCUAAGCAACCUGCAAAGUGAGUUUUUAAUCACCAUUUUACAGAUGGAGAAACUAAUUCAGAAAGGGAAAAUACUCAAGGCCACAAGGUAGUAAACUCCCAAACUAGACAAACCUCAGGUCUGCCCAAUUCCUCUUCCUGUGUUUUCUCCAUAUCAUCUCACUACAUUGGGCUGUGAACUUCCCCGCCUGCCUCCCUGGGGCAGUCCUGGCCUCCUCUCACCCCUGCCCCUUCCCUUCUUUCUCUCUCUUAGGAGUGCCAGCUUCUCCCAGGGUUCUGAGGCCCCAUUCAUCAUGAGGAGAAACACAGCCAUGCAAAAUCUUGCCCAGCACAGUGGAUACAGUGUUGAUGGGGUCAGCGGUCACAUCCAUGGCUUCCAUAGCCUUUCCAAGCCCAGCCAGCACAAUGCAGAAUUCAGAGGCAGCACCCACAGAAUCCCCUGGAGCCUGGCCUCCCAUGGCCACACCAGAGGCAGCCUCACAGGCUCUGAGGCGGAUAAUGAGGGUGUGUACCCCUUCAAGGCACCCAGAAGCACCCUGUUCCAGGAGUUUGGGGGCCACCUGGUGAACAAUAGUGGUGUUCCGGCCACCCCACUCUCAGUGCACCAGAUUCCUAGGACAGUCACGUUAGACAAGAACCUCUAUGCCAUGGUGGUGGCCACUCCUGGGCCCAUAGCCUCCCUUCCCCUGCCCAAGGCAAGUCAGGCAGAAGCAUGUCAGUGGGGCAGCCCUCAGCAGAGACCUUUAGUCAGUGAAAGUAGCAGGUGGUCUGUUGCUGCUGCCAUCCCCAGGCGGAAUACCCUUCCUGCAGUAGACAACAGCCGAUGUCACCAAGGUCAGUAUGAGCCCUCACUGAGACCCAGAGGGAGAGGGGAGGUGGCACCGGGUUCUCAGUGGUUAGCUAGUCCUUGGUCUCCCAUGGCCAAGGGAGACUUGGGAGCCACUCAGGUCACUGAUAGUCAAGUUCAUCUCCUGCCUGGACCUUGACCACUGGGUCCCCCAGCACUGGAGGCUGUUAAUAGACACCCAGUGGCAAGACUGGCAGACUUGGCCUCCACUAAGGGAGACAGAACAUUCUUAGUUACAGUACAGCACAUUAUGGGUUUGGAAUUCUAAAUCAUCAUAGUGUAUGUAUGUUUAAAUCCGAGUAAAGACUUAAAACAGAAGUUUAGGAGAUCAGUCCAAAACUAGAGCCAAACCAGUGUGGACUAACAGACUGUUGAAACAAAAUGAGAUCUUCAAAAUAUUUUCCAGCCUAUAUUUGGGUCUCUUUGUUUGAAGCCUAAACUUGUAUUUGAAAUACCUAGAUUCUUUUCUCAUUUGUUUUCCACUGAGAGUAUUUUAUAUCUGCAUAUAACCUCCUCUCCUCAAUGAAAACAAAUAGAUCAAUAGUAACUCCUUUCCUUUUGCAUCCAUUCUUAUACCUUGCAAAGCCUUUGUUUAUUCUUCCUGUUAUGAGAGAGUCUGGUGGGGCAAAGCCUUGUUUUCUCCAUUUUAUAUGAGGCCCAUGGUACUUAGGCUUAUUCAGGGUUGAAAGUCAUAAGUGGUAAAGAUGAGCCUCACCCUGAGGUCCUGGAUCCUGGGUUAGAGUUCUUUGCAGUCUUUUUAGUGUUUCAGCAAUUUGAGCAAGGCCCUUGUGCUGUGAAAUUGAAAUGAUAGAGGUAUAUAUAAAACAUGUUUGCUGUUCAGAGCUCACAUUUAUGUGUAAAAUAAAAUGAAACCGACAUGCAGAAGUCAGUAUAAGCACUCUUUACUAUUCCUGGAGGUGGCAGGUGGGUGAAAGGGAUGGGUGGUGGGUGCUGUAGGAGUUGAAGGAAAAGGUGUGUCCUGAGGGCAGGCAUCCAGGAGGGACACUGUGUGGGUAACACUGGAGCUGGACCUGGAAGCCCAGGAGGAGUUGUGGUAGGGAGCAGGGAUGUGUUAGAGGUAACGCUUUGUCAUUUGGGGUUGAGAGUCGUGUCCUCUAGAGCAUCAGCGAGACCCUAAGCAGCACUGGGGAGGGCGUGGGAGGCAUCAACACAUGGAUCAGCUGUGAUGCAUGUGGAUCUCCUUCCUCUGUCGUAGCUUCCUCCGGCAAGUACACCCAGCAUGGUGGAGGGAAUGCCAGCCGGCCUGCUGAGUCCAUGCAUGAGGGAGUCUGUUCUUUCCUGGUGAGUAUGGCUUAACCAGGGGUCCCCAGACUGGCUCAGGGAGGUAAAGGUCACACUCCAUGGAACUAAAAGCACAUCCCCCAAAGGGUGACAGCAUCUCCCUCCUAGGAGGCUGCCUAGGUUCUUGCCUCAGUUCAGAACCAUAGGUUCAGUUUUUGGAUAAGUGAGAUACUGGUAUCCAGGUCUGGAAGAAAGUGAGUACUUAAGUAGAUGGGAUCACAAGUCUUACCAGCCCUGUGGGUAGCAGAGGGUGCAGAAUGCUGGGGUUCUGGGUGCUCUAAGCAGGUGCUCUAACCCAUGAGGUCCCCUGGAGCAGGAGUGCUUCCCUGUGAGCCUUUGGUAUGGGUAGGCAGAGGGGACAGGCUGCUGGGGUGGUGGGUGAUCUGAUUCAGCAACCUUAUCCAGGAGAUCCUCUGGAGCAGGGGUGCUUCUGUGUGAGCCUCAAGGCAAGGGCAGUACUCAGAGUCAGGUGAGGUGGAUGGAUUCCAGGCUGCCACCUGGAAAGGGUAACCACAGUUCUCCAAGGUGUCAGACAAGCAACAAGGCCUGGCGUCAGGCUUCUUACAAAGAUGGUGGGAAUUAGGUAACCAAGGCAGAGGGCAGAUGAGGCAGGAGCUGGAGGAAGGCUGUACCUAGGUCUGCUGCAUUGCGCAACUCUGUGGCAGCUCUGCCUGCAGCUUGGUGGUCACCCAGGAGCCCGAGUGAGCCCCAGGCUCCCUAUACCUCCCUGAUACCUUGUCUGCUAAUCACAGCCAUUGGGGGAGAGGAAUCUCCUUGUCUGGGGAAGUGCACCUCACCCCAUACGUCACCUUCCAGGGCCAAGACAUCUGAUGUGAUCCUUGCCUUGAUCAGGGCCUGAGAUGCUGACCUGCCAGUGCCGAGUCAGGACUUGAGGUGGAUGAUGGGUCUCGAGGCCACAUCUGCAUGGUGCAUGGUCUGUGCUGCCUUCUGCCUGGGUCUGGUAUCCAGAAACCUGAGUGGACAUUGGGUGCUGAGCCACAUCUGCAUGGUGCAUGGCCUGUGCUGCCUUCUGCCUGGCUCCGGCAUCCGGAAACCCACGUGGACAUUGGGUGCUGAGCCACACCUGCAUGGUGCACGGCCUGUGCUGCCUUCUGCCUGGGCCCAGCAUCCAGAAACCUGAGUGGACCCAGCCACUAAAGAUAUUUUAUCCCAUAGAUUUGUCACAAAUUGUAGUUGGACCCCAAGGGGUCCUGAGAGCUAGAAGUGCCCAGACAUCUCAUUUUUUUCUUGCCUCUACUUUGAUUUCAGAGUCUUUCCAAGGUCACUCUGAUAGCUUCAAAGUGUAGCCCUCCCCAUGUAGUGAACUCUUAUAAUUGUAUGCUGCCUUGGCAUCCACAUCGAAUGGAGUUUUAACUUUCUCAGACCAGAGGCAGAGGACUUAGUCUCCCUGAUGGUUUCCAGUUCUACACCACACCCAUGUGGCUUCAGUCAGUGGCCAGAGAUGGGAAUUUAGACUUACCUCCCCCAUGCAGCAGACUGGGCUCGCCACUUUCUUGCUGCUCCCUUUAAAUGGACCAUCCAGGCAUUUACUCUGACCUUAAUUAAGUGAUCCCACACCCCAUUCUGCAAGAUACACUUCCAGUUGCCACCCUCUCUCCUCUUACUCCCUAACCUCCCAGGACCUGUAAGAACUGAAAACUCUUCCACUUUUACAUGUUGACUGUGUCAUGGAAGCUGCUCCAAAGUCUGACCCCUGAGGCUGCCCAGAGGGGCCCCAUCCAUGGGGUUCCUGGCUGGGGCACUUCUAUCUGGGCCGCAGGUGGCUGCUGAAGACAGCAGCCCCCAGCCAAGGUGAUCAAAAGUUUCGUUCAAAACACCCCGUCAUGACUCUUUUUGGCCUUGUCUAGAAAUUCUCAUUCCUAUCUUGUUCUUGCUGGUGAUAGCUGUGUUUCUUUCACUGUCCUCUUCCUAGCCAGGAAGAACGCUUGUGGGCCUGUCAGACAGCAUUGCUUCUGAGGGCAGCUGUGUGCCCAUGAACCCAGGCUCCCCUACCCUGCCGGCUGUGAAGCAAGCAGGCGAUGAUUCCCAGGGUGUCUGCAUCCCUGUGGGCUCAUGUCUUGUUCGCUUUGACCUGCUUGGCUCCCCACUCACAGAGCUUUCUAUGCACCAAGACCUCAGCCAGGGACAUGAGGUCCAGCUGCCCCCUGUCAACCGCAGCCUCAAGCCUAACCAGAAGGGUAAGUCUUUCCCCAUUCUAUUUCUUGACAAUGUCCAGGGACUCUGCAUUCGCUUAGGUGUCAGGUGGAUCCUGGAUGUGGAACGUCUGACUUUGGCAAGUCAUGUGAAUUCUCUGAGCCUCAGUUUUCUCCUCUGUGAAAUGGAGAUAGUAACUCCUACUUCCCGGGUUUGUUUGGAAGGAGAGUGUCUGGGACAGUGGCCCUGGCUCACAGCAGGUGUCCAGUGAAGUUUGGUCUGUGCCCUCCACGUGUAGACCAGGAAGAAGAGCUAGAGCUCAGGUUCCAGGCUGCCAUGACCUCACCCUGUGGCCUUGGCCCAGCACGGGGUUCAAGGAAGGAGUGGGAUAACUGGGUGGGGAUCAGUCCUGUGGGUCUGGCCACAGGGAACCAGACCCAGCGAGUGGCGCUGGAGCCUCAGCACCUCAUGGUGUCUACCUGCUUCCAUGGUGGGCUACACAGCCCUGUCCAAGGCAAGCAGGGGCAGGCAUGGGGACUAAAUCCAUUUCAAACAUUGUGUCUGUUUUUUAUAUCAAGUCAAAUUUAGGCAGAAAAAUCUAUUGUCAGACUAUGAGUCCCCAUUUUGGAUUCUGAAAAUACAGUGGCUAUAGAUACAGUGGGAGGAGCAUACGAUCUGGAAUCUGAGAACAGAACUCUAAGGCCCUUCAGCAUGACCCAGCCGAUAGAGCCUUGCCAAGCCUCAGUCCCCCGCACACAGCUGGGUGGACUGGGUGGACGGGGUGGGCCUUUCUAAGCACACCUGGGCCUUGUAGCAAAGUGGACAUGGGUGUGGUGUCAUCACUGGCUGAUGACAAGGUUCUUUUCCUGCUCCAGCCAACCCAACACCGCCCAACCUGAGAAACAACAGGGUCAUCAAUGAGCUCUCCUUCAAGCCACCUGUCACAGAGCCCUGGUCUGGGACCAGGUGAGUGUCUGUCAGUGGAAACAGGAGCUUGGGACCGGGCCGGUGGAGGAGUGAGUGGGAUGGUCAUUGGCUUGUGGUCAGGAUAACUGGAUGCUCAUGUCGAUGUGGACAUGGCUGAUCCUGUCUCCGUCUCAUGAGGCGUGACGGCCUUCUCAUCUGUAAAGGGGGAAUAAUGAUCCCUGUCCCUAUCAGUUCUUGAUCUGGUAACAGUGUGAGGCCUGGAUGCUUGAAGUCAGGGCCCAGCUGGAGGCUGGAGCCCUGACAGCAGCCCUGAGCCCCACCCAGGAUGUACUCCUUGCCUUCUUCCCAUGACAGCCACACCUUUGACUCCAGCUCCUCCCAACACCCCAUCUCCACGCAGAGCAUCACCAACACAGACUCAGAAGACAGUGGAGAGAGGUAUCUUUUCCCGGUGAGUCCUUGGGGGUCACUGUAAGGCUCCUAUCAGAGUCCCCUGGGACCCACACUCAUGUCCCCGCUUCCCAGCUUAGCUACCUCAGCUGACUCACCCCAGCCCAGUCAGGUGUGAUUUGGUCUCCUAUUGCAAGCUCUUCUUGAGCACAGGUGUAUCAGGCAAUCAUUAGGGUUAGGAAGAUGAUGGUCUCCCCUCAAGGAAGUCUGGAACUUGAAGAGCAGAGGCAGCCCACCUCGCCCUCAUGACGGUGAUACAGGUGGUGCCCUGCCCUGGAAGAGGCAGAGUUGGAGGUGUCUGCUUCGCCAUGGGGAGACACACAUGUACAUGCUUCACCCUGGUGAGGGCUGUGAGAGACGUGGAGAUGCAGGUGGAACACAGGAUGCCCCUUAGAUUGGCACUGAAGAGGGCAUCAUGACCAACAUUUGAUAGUUGCUGCAUAGAUAUUGGAAGAAUGAGCCAGCCAGCAAAGCAGCCAAAACCCAGAGCCCAGGGCGGCCACUUUUCUCACCAGAGCCAGACUUCAGGAAUGUCCCAGCAAGGUGGCAGCCUUCUAGAGAGGAGGCUGCGGGACCCUGCGUGUCUCCUGGAGAGCUGCCAAGGGGGUAGGCUCCAUGCAGCCUCAGGUGGUGGGCACUGCCGAUCUCUGGGAGCUGGAGGGGGAGGCAGCUGCUUCAUAGGAUGGACCUACUCUGGGCCAUGGGUGGGAGUUUCAGAUGACUGACUGGGUGCAGCAUCCAGUGUGUGAAGGAGAGGCACAGUAGUAACACCUGGCUCACAGGACUGCUGAAAGGGUUUGAAUGAGCAGAGAGUGCCCCAGUGCAUGGCUCAGAGUAGGACCCAGUGGGCUCGUAGCUACGCCCACAGGUGUGUUCCACUGGGUGCUGGGUCUGUGUCCUGAACUCAUUUGCAGGAUUUUCCUCCUUGUGACAGCAGAACCCGGCAUCUGCAUUUCCUGUUUCCGGUGGCACCAGCAGUUCAGCCCCGCCGAGGAGCACUGGUAACAUCCACUACGCGGCCCUGGACUUCCAGCCGAGCAAGGUGCCUGGGGUGGAGCUGGGGUUGGGCAGAGCCCUUGGGCCCUGGGGGAGAGACUGUGGGGCCAGGCCCUUCAGCACCGGCAGCACUGGGCUGCUGGGCUGCCACUCCCAGCCCAGUGCCUGGCUCUUAUGCUCAGUGGUGCUCUGAUCUGGAUCUCGGGGCUCCUGUUCCUUCCCUCUCAGCGUGGUGCCUUCAUCAGCCUGCCCCGACUCCCCAUUAGAGACAGAUGACUGUGUGGAGACCUGAUCUGUGGAGGUUGUGGAAUAAAUCAGGAGAGACCCAGGACCGGCAACCUGGCUCCAGGCCAAACUCUUCUGUGAGGAGAACUCACUGUGUGGGAGGGUUCUAGAGCCCGGCCAUUGAUGCGGGGGACCUCAGAAGGAACUCCUGGGUCCAGGAAAGCCUCCCGAGAAAGCACAUGUAGCCAGCCUGUCUAGACAGCAGGGUGGAGAGCUCCAUCUCUGUGCAUUGCGCCCCUUGGGGAGAUAGGGCUCACCAAGGGCACCCCUGGAAAGGCCUAGGCUGGUGCUUGUUGACACCUGGGAAAUUUCCUGCCAUGGAUGAGUGUUUAGAGGGGAAGGCCUUGGCCAGUCCUUGGGCCAGAGAAGGGCCUGGCUCUUCCUGCGAGGUGGGAGAUGAGAAGUGCUGGCCAGGGCUAUGGCAUCCAGCAGGAGGAGAGGUUAGCCUGGAGUUGAGGCUUUAAAGCCCAGGCCCCCCAGGCUGCUGAGAGCAGGAGGCAGAGGUUCCUUCCCCCUGAGAAAGUUUGAGAGAGCCCACUCCUUGGCCUGCCCUUCCUCACCAGGAACUCACAGACACUGCCACUCCCACUUCCACCCUCUGUCCCUCAGCCAUCCAUAGGCUCUGUCACGUCCGGCAAGAAGGUGGACUAUGUCCAGGUGGAUCUGGAGAAGACCCAGGCCCUGCAGAAGACCAUGCAUGAACAGAUGUGCCUGCGGCAGUCCUCAGAGCCUCCCAGGGGCGCCAAGCUGUGACUCGGGCCACCAAAACCAGAGUGGGGCCAGGACAGUGCCUCAGAGCUGCUCCGCCACACUCUAAAGCUCUGUAAUAUCAGGGACCGCAUCCCUUACAUAGAGAGCAGAGGCCUGAUCAAUAUACAUCCUUUGCCUGCUUGGGGCCCACCUGUGCCUUUGGCUGGCCAUGGUCCCCACCUUCACCCCCUUGCUAGGAGCAGUUGCCAGCAAGCAUCCUCAGUCUCUUCCUGCCCCUCAGACCCGGGCUCCCAACAGAUUUCCACUCUCACACUUACUCAUGGUCCUCAGCCUCUUCCUUCUAGCCUCUGGGCUGUUUCCCUCAAUCCUGGAACAUGAGGAGCUACCUUGCUGACCCGGGGACCCAAGGCCCACAGGCCACAGUGGACAUGGACCUUUUCAGCCCUGGCAUUUUUUGGUCAGGGGAGAGGCAAGGCCAUCAAACGUUGGAAUAGUUGAGAAGGAAGGUUAAAGGUGGUCUUGAGAAGCAAAGGAAUUAGAUCCUUAGACCAGCAGGGCAGCUGAUACCUGCAAGGGCUCCCACUUUCAGACUGAGGCCAGAGUAUGGCAGCUGCUCCCGGGUGGGAGAGGCAGAGAGGGAAGGGCAAAAGGAAGGGAAAACAUGAAGACGAACAGCCGAAAGCCACAAGAAGCAGGGCUGGAGCUCCAGAGACUGGGGUGACAAGGACCAGGGUCAGGGCCCCAGAAAUCCGGAGCUGCAGGCUGGCUCUGCUGCUCUUUGCUGAUGCCCCUUGGGGGGCCCUUGCCUGCCUAAGAAGGCUUGAUCUGAGCUGGGCAAAGCAGCAACUGAUGGGGGAAAUACCUGCAGGGUGAGGGGUGGGAUGGGGCAGGGAGUGAGGGAGGAAGGGAGCAUGUGCAGAUGGAGAUGGCUCAGGGCUGAGGGGCUCCUGGGACAGGCAGGGGCCCGAGGCAGGGCCCGGGACUCCGCAGUGCAGGUGGUGCAGCACGUGACCUUCUGUGAAGGGGCAGAGCAGUGGGGAGGGCACAGAGGGAACCCAUGGGAGGCAAGGCCGGGGAGACAGCCAGGGAGAAGUGGGGAAAUGUGGCCAGGGGCCCUGGGGGCAUGCCAUCAGUGGUGAAAGGAAUACAGGAGCAGAAGGUGAAGGGGGGUCUGCUAUGCAUGGGAGCAGUGUGGGAGGCCAGCUGGAGGGGCAUCUGGGACGCGGGUAGAGCCUGCAGGGAGGACGGCCUGGGGUGGGGCUGAGGCUGUGCCAGGCCGUGUUUCCCUCUCACUUCGCCCUCUUCCUUGGCGUUCCAGUGCCACAUUGGACUCAAACUUGGCUAUGGGGACAGGAGAAGCCAGUCUCCUCCUCCUGUGACUUGAGAGAUUCUCAAAUCGCAGGUUCAGAAGGUAGGCCCUCACCCAGGGCUUCUUGUGCCAAAGUUCAGGUAGGGAUCUGAAUUUUUUGUUGAAAGUUUUUGACCAAAAUUUCGAAGAGUUUCAGAAUGAACAGGGCAGAGCGGACACUUCAUCCUACCUUGGGGUGAACAGACUUUCCUCCUCCAAAAAAUGACUGCCCACAGGGUUUGAUGGAGGCGGCCUCCACACCCUGUCAGCACCUGUGAGCACCACACUUCACCAGACCAGGGGCCUGGCUGGCUUCUGGGGAUCCAUCCCUCAGCAGGAGCCCUCUCCCCUGGCAGCUCAAAGGCUCAGGUGGCAAGGCCCCGGGCUUAGGCACUGAGGACACGGGGAAUCUAUUAGACCUUUUCCCAAACGUGACAAGGUCACAUCAGUGAGGGAAAGGACAAGGACACAGACAGUGGUGAUGGCCAAGAUAGGCUGAAGAUGCUGAUGGGGUGCACAGGAAGUGAAAACUCCUCAGGGAGUGGAGGCAGAGAAGGUGGUUUUUAGGACAAGGGGUGCCUGAAUUAGUCUUGAGAGGUUAGGUCAGAUUUUUGCAGGGAAGGAGGGCAGGGCCAGGCUGCAGUGGAGGAAGGAACGACAGACUGGAAAAGCCUGUGCUGAGGGGCCACAGGAGCUUUGGAGGGCAGGUCCAGCUGCUCAGAACUGCAGGGGCCGGGCCUUUGUGCUCCCACGGGUGGAAUGGUGAUGGCUGUGUGACCACACUGGGCAGAGUGUGCAGGGUGCUGGCUCACUGGCCCAGCCCUGACUGUGUCCCUGUAAGGUCCUCUACAAGGGGUCCCAUACAGCACAGCUCUUAACUGCCAUCCCCUGUCCCCAGCUGACUACAGUGGGGCCCAGUAUUGAUCUCAGCUCCCAGCCCAGCCACCUUCCCUGUUGAUCCCAGGCUGCUAAGAAAGUGCUGCAUGUUCUGAGUGUGCAUGGUGUGCAUGAACUUGGUGGAGGCUUCAGAGACUGAGGUGUUCAAGUCCCAUCUCCAGAGGGGUUCCUUCCAGCUCUUGGUUCCUGUGACCACCAAACCCUGAGGGUGAAAGUAGGGGUGGAGAUGGAAAGAAGGACAAGAGAAGAGGACACUGGCCUAUUGGAAGCAGAGCUCUACUCCCAAGCCUGGACUCCAGCCAUGUCUAGCAUGUAUCCCCCCCUCCACCCACCAUCCCAGAAGGAAAAGUCAACUCAGCUUAAUACAGGGGUCCUUGGACCUAUCUUGAGGUUAAAGUCCACCUCCCCUGGUGGCCUGGCCAGGACUGAGACCCCAAAAAGGGACACCUCAGCCAGUGCAGCUCACAUGGGGGCUUGUCCUGCUGGGCUCUCCAGGGGAGCCGUCUUCACCCACCCCCACCACCUGCAAAGUUAGAGAGCAGUCAGGUGGGAACAAUGAGAAACGGGCAAGGACAUCUCCCUAGGACUUUGCUUUCCCAUCUGUGGAGUGGGUGGUUGGAUUCGAUGUUGUCUGGCCCCUUCCUAGGCUGAGGCUCUGCUGGUCUCGGAGCUCCUUGCUCUGUUACUUCUCUCUGGAGGCUCUGCAUCGCAAGGGAUGAGCAGCACGAGAGCUUUGGCCAAUUAGUCCCUUUCUGGCUUGAUAUGGACAACUUCUUCAUUUCAAACUAUUAAAAUAGACCACAUUCCUACGGCAGAAGCACAACCAUUCUGGUUAUGGGAACAUAGGCUCAGCUGUAGUCGGCCUUGUGGUCCUUCAACGUGCUGUGAGGCUGUCAUCUUAGUCCCAGGCCCUGGCACAGCAUCACCCACAUGACUGUGACCCCCAGGGACAUGCAGGACAGGGAAGUGAGCACUUCUGUUCUGGGCCUGGGCCUUGAUCUGGGAAGUGUGGGGGAGGGGAGGCUGACCUGCAGAGCACUAAGAGCAUCAUUCUGGGAUACACCAGGCCCCUGAGGCCUGGGACGAUGGCCGUCUGCCUGCUGAGAGCCCACUGCAGAGUCAGGCUGGUAUGUUUGGUCCAGCGGUGUGUGUCCUUGUGUAUUUGUUGGCUACUUGUAUCUUGCUGUUUAGAAUCAUUUUGUACAGAAUGUUUGGUUUCUCAUUAAGAGAAAAUGGGCAAGAAGCCCAGUCUUAAGUUCUUGUCUUGGUACCAUUUAAAAUUGACAUUUCAUUUUUUUUUUUUUUUUUUUUUUUUUUUUGAGACGGAGUCUCGCUCUGUCGCCCAGGCCGGACUGCGGACUGCGGACUGCAGUGGCGCAAUCUCGGCUCACUGCAAGCUCCGCUUCCCGGGUUCACGCCAUUCUCCUGCCUCAGCCUCCCGAGUAGCUGGGACUACAGGCGCCCGCCACCGCGCCCGGCUAAUUUUUUGUAUUUUUAGUAGAGACGGGGUUUCACCUUGUUAGCCAGGAUGGUCUCGAUCUCCUGACCUCAUGAUCCACCCGCCUCAGCCUCCCAAAGUGCUGGGAUUACAGGCGUGAGCCACCGUGCCCGGCCGACAUUUCAUUUUUCAAAUCACUGUUGGUGCCUAAUCACUGAAGUUAUUCCAUUUUCUUUUAAAACUUUUGUUAUGUGUAUUUACCCUGUGAGCACACCUGGGGGUGACAGGAGUGUGCUCAAGAGGCUAUCAUUUCUGCUGUGGUCACUGGACAGGCCUCGUGCUGGCAGGCUCCUUUGUACUGAAGCACUGGAGCAGGACGGUAGUGAAGUUCAUGAGGAAUACAGCCCAGGGUGGGCUGCUUGGGUCUUUCUGGGAGUGGAGCCCACACUCACUCAAGUCUCACCUUAGGCUGAGCCUGAGCACCUGGCUGCCCUGGGCAGGCACAGACACACACUGUCAACAAGAAAACCAUUUCAGAAUCAUUUCUCCAAUGACCCAGGAAGGCCACUGUGCCAGUCUGUUCACUUCAUCUUAAAUAGGAAAUAGGUACUUUUCCUGGCUCAGAGAGAAAAUAAAUUCUCUUUAUCACAGAAUCUACUUUCCUAAUCUGUAAACUGGACAUUGUGCUAGCACCUGCCAAUCCGUCUUUCUUAGAAGGGAGUCUAGAGGUGGUUCUGAGAGGGCUUCAUCUGUGUCUGUGUCCACUGGGCCCCUGGCAACAGGUUCCUGAGGUCUGACAUCUCACAACUCCCCUCCACUGCUCCACCCACUGCACAAGUGGGGCAGCCCUUGAGGUCCCUGGUGCCUUUUUACCUUCCAUGUUCUCCCAAAUGGCACUGUAGGAAUGGUGCUUGCGGACCCUGUGGUAAGGGCUGCUCCCAAGCCCCGUACAUGCCCCACUUCUCUGCUUCAACUCCAGGAUGGGGUGGGGCCCAGGAAAGGAGCCGGGUGCGGGCUCUGGAGUGGGAAACCUGUGGUGAGGGCUGAUCCUGGGCUCUGCGAGUGUGGCUGCUCCUGCGUUUCUCUAGCUCCAGGCUGGGUUGUUGCCUGUGGUAAGGAGCUAGGUGUAGGCAUGGUAGGUGCACCAUGGCCCUGUGGUGACAGCUGGUCCUGGGCCCUGCCAGUGUGGCUGCUCAUGUGCUCCUCUCCAGCUCCUGGAUGGGAUGGUGUCCAUGGGAAGGAGAUGGGUUCGAGUUCUGGAGAAACAGGGGGCUGCCUCCCAGCUAGCCCUGACCCAUGCCAAGUCCAGCUCUGGAGAUGUGACAACCCCCUCUCAACCUCCCCAGCUUCUCAGAUGCAAGGAAAGAGGGAUGUGGCAUCUGCAACAGGUGUUUGUGGGCAGUCCAGAAUUCUUGGGUCUGAAACAUUUCCAGUUAUUUAUUUGGGUUUCAAGUGCACCUGAGAGGUGAGUCCCCUCCACAGUAUUCCACUGGGACCCCCCAUCCUGUGCACCCUUCCUCUCUCUUCCAUUCCAUCCUCUAGGUCCUCCCAGCCUCAGAACUAGGCAAGUCCUUCAGCACACAGGGCUGUCACUCCAUGCUGUACCUCAAGUGAUGGGGACAGGGGUAUGUCCUCUCCUUACCAAGGAGCAGCAUGGGUCCCUAUCAUGCUGCCCAGAUGCAGUGAGGAAAUCGAGGGUACAGCAUACAGGAAGAGCAACAGCUUUCAAAGGCUUCAGAGAGGCUGGUUUCAUACUGCUUGAGAACAAGGGUCUUUCUCUUCAUAGAAAAGAGGCUAUAGCAUGGUCAAGGCACAAGAAGAUCACUGGACUGCCCUCGCUCAGCCCUCAGCUACUGCUCUGGCUGUCCAUGGCUGAAACUCAUCCUGCUGGCCAAAGCCUUUGCUGUUCCAGUUGUUAAAUAUUUUGAUACCACCCUUAACUCUAAAGGGUGGAGUCACAGGCACAGUUAGGAGGUAGAACUAACCUCCCACUGACACUUGGCCAUUCACACUCGUAGAACAGCACACUUACUAAACAACUGCAUAAUUCAUUAUUCAAAGUCUGUUCCUCUGAAGUAAGGGGUUAGGUGCCUGGGCCACCGAUAUAUUCCGAGCACUGAGCAAUGAAUGAAUGAAUGGAUGGAUGGAUUUUUUUAAAAGGCUCAAAGUGAAGGGAAAUAUUGUAUCGAACCAGUGCUUGGCUGGGACUGGAUGCAUCUCCACCCAGGAGAUCAAAUCCAGGAUCCUGGUGUGUCUGCUCUUCCACAGGUGAGGAUGCUGCUGUCCUUGGAAAUGGCUUCCGUUCAGCCCUAUGGAGGGUGGACAUGGUCCAGACUCUGGGAGAGCCCGGCUCAGCCUUGGGCCCCUCCCUAGGCCACUGCUGGUAAAAGAGCACACAGACCUUCCUUGGGUAAAAGGGAGGGGACAUUGCAGAUAGACAGCAGGAGAAGGCCACCUGUGUGGGCAGUUCCCAUAGGGCCUAGGCGGCAGCACCCUUGCGGGCUUAGCAGUGGUUGGGACGGCUCUCCUGGGACACUCCAGAGAGUGCUGGUUCAGUGCUAGUCCACAGUCCUGGCCUGGCACCAGCAAGUGGGGCAGUGAUGUCACCCAGGAUCUUGCAGUUCCUGCAUUGAAGGGGAAGCACAGCAAUCUCUGGAUGAGGUAGUGUGGCGCCUGGCUCAGGCCCCUGCCUGUUCAACACCCUUCAGGACAGCACCCACCUCGCUGGAGCAGCGGUUCUCUGCUGUCAGCCUGAGGGAACAGGAAGUAGUUGACCAGGUUCAAGUCAAAGCUGGAGACCACACAGCGCCUUCACAGAGAGGGUAGUGGUGUCCUGUGGGUCCCUGGUCCCAGGCCAUUCUCCCCCUUCUUGUUCACCUUCUUCAUUCACCUCUGUACCCUCAACAGCCCAGGGAUGCCUGGCAAUGUGGGUGCUCAGAGGUCACAGUAGAUGAAUGAUACUUACAGCACAUGAAGGCCCCAGACUUAAUGCAGUAGGUGGAAUCACUGGAGAGAGAGAUGUGGGCAGCAGUACAGAAUGGGGCUCGAGGGGGCCCUGCCAUGGCCCCACAGUCUCUGUCAUGAACCUGUGCUAGCAUGGACAAGGGCUCAAUAGCUUCUUCCAUGAAGUAGGCUCUUGUAGUCAGAUGCAGGUAGGUCCUGGGGCAGGGAGGGUGUCACUGUGGAGGCCUGACCAGAGCUUCCUUUCCACCCACUCCUCCCCCUGCACACACUUGGCUGUGAUCCAGGAAGGCAAAGAGCCACUGCAGCCUGGAAAUAAAAGGCUGUGAGUUGUUCUCAAAUGAAGCCAAGAGUGUUUGAAGCUUCACAAAAAAGCAGGAGUGCCCAGGGUAAGCAAAGGCCCCAAAGGAGCUUCUCCUCACCCAUGGCCUCCAGGCCGAAGGCAGAACAGGCAUUUCUAGUUCAAGGUGAGGCUGGAGGCAUGGGACCUGGAGGAAGAGAAGGUGAACACUUGGCCCAGAGUGUUUGGGAUCAGAAACACAGCAAUGACCUUGGUUUGGAAAAUAAGCGGUAUAGCAAGGUAACCCCCGAAGUCCCUUCUAGCUCUGACAUCCCAUAGCCCCAGGAGCCAAAAAUUAGUGUGUCCUAACAUCUUGUGAUGCCAGGGUUCUAAGGCUGGGGCUCUGGUCUGCCACAGAGUUCAUGUCAACAUCAUCCCACCCACAGCAGCCCCCACACCCCUUUCUCCGUGGUUCCCCAGGAAAGAACAUACAGACCCCUGCAAAGCAGCAAGCUCCACCUCUGUCCCAGUCCACUGCUGCAGCCCCUGUUCGGGGUCCUGGCCCUAGAACCACCAUGAGUUAUUCUACCCACACCGCUUUCUCCCUGCUUCCCCGGGACAGGGCAUUCAGACCUAUGCAGGGCAGUGCAUCUGGCUCCAACACACGGCCCCAGUUCACUCCUGCAGUCCCUGCUCAGCACCCUGGCCCUAGAGUCACCCAAAGUUAUCCCCCUGCCUUCAAAUGAGAAAGGCAGGCAUCAGUAUGAGAAUUAUCCUGACAGAAGAGGACACGGUGGUGUAGACUGGCUCCUGAUGGCAGAGGUGUGGCCCUGUGGCAGACAGGAAGGAGAUCCUCUUCAUGCCCAUAUUCCCUGGAACAAGCUGAUUUCCAGAUCCCAGCUUUGUUUCUCUUCUCACUAGACAAUCUGGAAAGAUCACUCAUGCAUUUCUCCAAACAGCCCACUGCAUAGAAUAGCACUUCUCAAAGUGUGGGCCACUUAGCUGGUCCAAGGCAAUGCAAGGCAAGAAAUGGAGGAAGCAUUUAGAAACCUGUAAAGCAUUGUGAUAUUACCAUGGCCAUAUAAGCACAGGAUCAUUUUUUUUUUGGUAAGUCAUUUUAUUGUAUUUUACAAAAGUAAUGGUCUGCAGCAGACCAAAAUUAGAAAAAAACAAGUCCUUCACCAGGAAGUUUGAGAAGAACAAGUAGCAGCAGCUUGGAGAUCACAUCCAACCUCCUCUGCUGAACCUGAAGCUCAGAGAGGAGAAACUGACUUGAAGUCAUACUAUAAACCUGGAUCAAAGCUUACUUUCACAGAAUCAAAGCUGAAAUUUUGAGUGAUUUUUAAGCAAGCCAUAAAGUGAAUAGGUAGCCAUAGACAAUAAAUACUGCAUUUGUUGCAUUAAACAAAAAUAUGUCUGAAACCAGAAUGAAUGGGAGCUCCACACAGGAAGACACAAUCCACCACCAUGGACUCAUGGAGAAAAGUCAGUGAUAUCAACCAGCCCAGUGAGGACCCCUCCUCCCACUGCAGCCCCGUCCCUUGUGCCCAUCUUGAGUUCUCAUCCCGUUGCUACCUACUGCCUUGGCAAUGGCUUGAGGCCGUCUGGGGCCUUCAUGUGCCCACAGACCUCGGGAUCAUGUCAGCAAUGCAAAGCAAGACCCACUCUCUCCAGCCUACAUUCUCACUCCUUUCUACCAUCUAUCAUUGACCAUAAUGCAGAGAACCAAGGGCAGACAGGAAGUGCAAAAUCAGCAUCUAUUCAAAAGCCACGAGCAAGGCCUGAGGGAUGCUGUUCACGCAGCAUGGGGCACCCACAUUGAUUAAAAACAGUGUUGCCCGUAACUGACUUGGCCAUGAGCUCAGGGCAGAAACCAGUCAGCUUGCUCUCCUGUGAGAUCCAGGCCUCCUGCCAUAAUUGCUGCUUAGUGUAAUCCUCACUGGGAGCAUGAAAGUCCUGAGGAGGAAACAAGGCAAGGCAGUGGGCACCAGAAUCAGCCCAGUAACUGGGCUAGAAAACAGUCAUCUCCUCUGGGAAGUCGUCUUCACUACAUCCAACCUGGCUGGAGUCCUGGGAGACUGCCUACAAAUGGUGCCAACAGCUUCUGCCUGCAAACACAGUCCAGCUUCUCAUCUUGACGUGAGGGCCUUUUAUGUGACCUUUCCCUUCAUACCACCUUAAAGUAUGCCCAUUUUAUAGAUUAAAUGACUAAGAUUCAGAUAGAGAAAAUAAUUGGCCAGGUCACAUGGCAGUGAAUGAAGGAUUCAUAAGUUCUUACAGGAGUCCAGCAGCUACAGCCCUGGUCCAUUGGCCAAAUCCAGUGGCAUCAAGACCUCAGUGUGAGGCCCAGCGCUCGUCCUCACUUGCUGUCUGGCCAUGGUCAGUGAGCCUCUCUGACUCAACCUGUAAACCUCCCUGGGCCUGGAUUUCCUCAUCUGUCAGGUGAGGAUAUGUCUACCUUCUAUUAGUUUGGCAUUCUAUACUUCCAUGGUGCUUACCCACAAUCAUGUUCCUGCUUUCAUCUUCUACUUUUAGAUUUGCAGAGUCAACUUGCAAGACAAUUAGUCACCCCCUUGGAACAUGAUCCUACAGUCAGGACAAUGGGAGGGUGCUGGGGGUCUGUGGUGUGGUCACGAGCAAGCUUUCCCCUCAUUACUCUUUAUCACAUUAAACAGCUGCACCUGCAGCAAUAUUACCAAGCACUAGUUCUAAUAAUGAUAUAUUUUAAAGAAAACACCUAAGCACAAUGUAGUGUUUCUUAAUUGAUUUAAGCAGCAUUUAUGACAGUUACUCUAGCCCUGUUCUUGUCCCUAGAUCCUGAGUACAGUGCCCUAGAUUUGUACAAGGUUCCACAGAGCUUCGAGCUGGCUUAGCACCCAAUACCCUCAUCUCCCCAGUGCAUGUCCUCUGACUACCACAGAAGACGUUGCUUGAGCAGUGGUUUAACUCACUCAUUUCCCAGGAGCAUUUAUUAGAUAAUAUAUCAGAUUAGCCAAUCACCUCCCACAGAUGAUUAAAAAAAAUCAAAAGAGCUGCCAGAGGGGAGAUAACAGCAUCUUCUCUCUUAGUCCCUCUUUUUUCUUGCAAUUCUGCCCUAUCCAAGUCUUCCUUGCCCCACACACAAUAAACAAAUAGGGGCAAAAAGGCAGACAGAUGGACAGAACCUACCAUGCACACACACAUACACACACAUAGAGAGAGGGAGAGAGAGAGAGAUGGAAAAAUAUUCACAACAGAAAAAAGAACAUAGAAUGCCAUUUUUUCCCAAAGAAUGGAACUUCAUACUCUUAGGAAAAUAACAAUUCCCCAAAUUACUCUUAAGCUCCUAAUGCUUCUGGAAAUUUACAUACGAUGGCUCCCUGAGCAAGGUCUGCUGCUCCCAGAGAAACUGGCGUAGCCUGAUGCAUGUGCCUUGGUACAAGCACUUUCCAGAGCUUGUGUGCAAGGGAACAUAAAUCCAAACCAUAAUGUGCUUAUAGAACAUGUGGAAGAAUUUCAUAAACAAUAAAAUCCUAUACUUUUCUGUCUUGACUCUCAAACUGGCUUGUUGGCAAGUGGUAUCCAAAGCCACAGGAAAAAUGUAGCACUUUUUCCUGGAGCUAUAUUCUCUAAUAUUCAACAAAGAAAAAUAUGCAUUUAUGUUAAAACAAGUGUUUAUGAACUACAUGCCUGAGUCUUUUUGUCCAACUUUAAUUUACAAUCAAGAUAUAUGUGUAGGUUUGUUACAUGGGUAUAUUGUAUGGUGCUGAGGUUCGGAGCAUGAGUGAAUCCAUCACCCAGGUAGUGAGCCUAGAAACCCGUAGGUAGUUUUUAUCAACCCUUACACCCCUCCCUCUCUCCUCGCUCUUGUAUUCCCAAAAGUCUAUUGCUCCCAUUUUUAUUACCAUGCAUACCCAAUGUUUAGCUCCCACUUAUAAGUGAGAACAUGUGAUAUUUGAUUUUCUGUUUCUGCAUCUGUUUGUUUAGGAUGAUGGUUUCCAGCUGCAUCCACAUGGCAGCAAAGGGCUUAAUUUCAUUCUUUUUUUAUAGGUGUGUAGUACUUCAUAGUGUAUAUGUGCCACGUUUUAUUUAUUCUACCCAUAAUUGAUGGGCACCUGGGUUCAUUCCAUGUCUUUGCUUUUGUGAAAAAAAACUACCAUUGAAUGGUAGUACUGUUUUAAGUUCUCUGAGAAAUUUCCACACUGCUCUCCACAGUGGUUGAACUGACUUAAAUUCCCAUCAACAGUGUAUACCCACUCCUUUUUCAACAGCCUCAUCAAUGUGUUAUUUUUUGACUUUUUAGUAAUAGCCAUUCUGACUGGUAUGAGAUGACAUCUCAUUAUGGUUUUGAUUUGCAUUUCCCUGAUAAUUAGUGAUGAUAAGCAUUUUUUUCAUAAAUAUUCUUGUAUGUCUUUUUUUGAGAAGUGGCUGUUUAUGUCCUUUGCCUUCUUUUUAAUGGGGUUAUUUGCUUUUUGCUUGUUCAAUUGUUUAAAUUACUUAUAGAUUCUGGAUACUUGACUUUUGUUGAAUGCAUGGUUUGCAAAUACUUUCUUCCAUUAUGUAGGUUGUCUGUUUACUUCCUUGAUAGUUUCCUUUGCUGUGGAGAAGCUCUUUAGUUAAUUAGGUCUCACUUGUUAAUUUUUGUUUUUGUAGCAAUUGCUUUUGAGGACAUAGCCACAGAUUAUUUGCCCAGGCUUAUAUUUAGAAGGAUAUUUCCUAGGUUUUCUUAUAGGAUUUUGAUUAGUUUGCAAUCUUUCACUUAAGUCUUUAAUACAUCUUGAAUUAAUUUUUGUAUGUGGUGAUAGGUAGGUGUGAUGUUUAAUAAUGAGUGUCAACUUGACUGGAUCGAAGGAUGCAAAGUAUUGUUCCUCAGUGUGUCUGUGAGAGUGUUGCCAAAAAAGAUUAACAUUUGAGUCGGUGGACUGAAAGAGGCAGGCCCACCCUCAAUCUGGGUGGGCACCAUCUAAUCAGCUGCCAGUGCAGCUAGGAUAAAAGCAGGCGGAGGAACAUGGAAGGACUAGACUGGCUGAGUCUUCUGGCCUUCAUCUGUCUCCCAUGCUGGCUGCUUCCUGUCCUUGAACACUGGACUCCAAGUUCUCCAGCUUUAGGACUCUUGGACUUACACCAGUUGUUUGCCAGGGGCUCUCGGGCCUUCAGCCACAGACUGAAGGCUGCCCCAUCAGCUUCCCUACUUUUUAGGUUUGGGGACUAGGGCUGGCAUUUUUGCUUCUCAGCUUGCAGAUGACUUAUUGUGGAUCUUCACCUCAUUAUUGUGUGACUUAAUAAUCCUUAAUAAACUCCGUUUCAUAUGUACAUCUAUCCUACUAGUCCUGUCCCUGUAGAGAAUGCUGACUAAUACAGUAGGGGUCCAGUUUUAUUCUUCUGCGUAUGCAUAGCCAGUUACUCAGGACCAUUUAUUACGUAGAGAGUCCUUUCCCCAUUGCUUAUUUUUGUUGACUUUGUUGAAGAUCAGGUGGUUGUAGGUAUGCAGCUUUAUUUCUGGCUUUUAUAUUUUGUUCCAUUGGUCUAUGUGUCCAUUUUUGUACCAGUCAGUAUUAGGUUACUGUGUCCCUGUAGCAUAGUUUGAAGUUGGGUAGUGUGAUGCCUCCCACUGUUUUGUUUUGCUUUCUGUUCUGUUUUGUAUUCUUUUUUUUUUUUUUGCUUAGGCUUACUUUGACUAUUCAGGGUUUUUUUUUGUUGUUGUUGUUCCAAAUGGAUUUUAGAAUAAUUUUUCUAAUUCUGUGAAAAAUGAUGUUGGUAGUUUGAUGGGAAUAACAUUGAAUCUG